rnacentral:lncRNA from 1 species
AUCGUUUAACGCCCCUAGCUAGGCAUAAAAGCGAAGAUAGAUCUAAGUAGUGCCAUCUUUGGCACUUGAUUCAUAGGUAGCUCGCAUGAUAGAUUCAUAAGGUAAUUUGACUUUAUUUCUUGGAAAGUGCUCCAUGCCUUUCUUUAAUGGAUAUUAGAAUAUAAUAUUCCCUUCCUUCAUAUCAAUAAUCGCACCAAUCGUUCUAAGGAAAGGUCUACCAAGAAUAAUAGGGCAAGAAAAAUUGCAAUAUAUAUGAAAAACGAUAAAAUCUACGGGAACCAAAUUACUAUUUGCAACAAUGAGAACAUCAUAGAUUCUUCCCAUUGGCUUUUUAAUGGUGGAAUCCGCGAGGUGCAAAUGUAAAGAGCAAUCAUCAAGAUCAUGGAAACCUAGAAUAUCACAUAAAGUUUUCGAAAUCGUGGAAACACUAGCACCCAAAUCACACAAAGCAAAACACUCAUGAUCUUUAAUUCUAAUCUUUAUAGUAGGUUCCCACUCAUCAUUAAGUUUUCUAGGUAUAGAAACUUCCAAAUUAAGUUUUUCAUCAAAAGAUUGCAUCAAGGCAUCAACGAUAUGUUUGGUAAAAGCUUUAUUUUGACUAUAAGCAUGAGGAGAAUUAACAACGGAUUGCAACAAGGAAAUACAACUUUCUAAAGAGCAAUUAUCAUAAUAAAAUUCCUUGAAAUCCGAGAUAGUGGGUUCAAUACUAUUUAAAGUCAUGACCUCUCCAAUCCCACUUUUACCAAAUUUAGCAUCAAGAUCUAAAAACUAUGAAUUCUUGGGACGCCUUCUAACUAAAGUUGACUCAUCUCCAGUCCCAUUAUUAUCAAGAUUCAUAUUGCAAAACAAAGAUUAAUAGGAGACACAUCAAUUACUUUAAGAUCUUCAUCAUUAUUUUCAUGGAAACUAGAAGAACACACCUUUACAAAGCAAUCUUUCUUAGCACGCAAUCUAGCGGUUCUUUCCUUGCACUCAUCAAUGGAAAUUCUCAUGGCUUUGAGAGACUCAUUGAUAUAAUGCUUAGGAGGAGUAGAUCUAAGUUUAAGAGAAUCAACAUCAAGCGAAAGUCUAUCAACGUUCCUAGCCAAAUCAUCAACUUUGAGCAAUUUUUCUUCAAGAAAAGCAUUAAAAUUCUUUUGAGAAAUCAUAAAUUCUUUCACACUAAUCUCAAAAUCAGAGGGAAUCUUAUUAAAAUUACCAUAAGAAUUAUUGUAGGAAUUUCCAUAAUUAUUAGAGGAAUUACUAGGGAACGGUCUAGAAUUAAAGUUUCCUCUAUAAGAAUUGUUUCCAAAACUAUUCCUACCAACAAAAUUCACAUCCAUAGAUUCAUUAUUACUCUCAAUCAAAGUAGACAAAGGAAUAUCAUUGGGAUCAAGCGGAGUAUUUUUUAGUAGCAAACAACUUCAUAAGUUCAUCCAUCUUUCCAUUCAAAACAUUGAUUUCUUCUAUAGCAUGCACUUUUCUACUAGAAGAUCUUUCGGUGUGCCAUUGAGAAUAAUUAGCCAUAAUAUUAUCAAGAAGUUUUGUGGCAUCUCCUAACGAGAUUUCCAUAAACGUGCCUCUCGCGGCCGAAUCUAAAAGAUUUCUAGAAGCAAAGUUCAAUCCGGCAUAAAAUUUUUGUAUGAUCAUCCAUAAAUUCAAACCAUGAGUAGGGCAAUUGCGAAUCAUCAAUUUCAUUCUUUCCCAAGAUUGGGCAACAUGCUCAUGAUCAAGUUGUUUAAAAUUCAUAAUAUCGUUCCUAAGAGUGAUAAUCUUAGCGGGAGGAAAAUACUUAGAGAUAAAAGCAUCUUUGCACUUAUUCCAAGAAUCAAUACUAUUUUUAGGCAAAGACAAAAACCAAACUUUAGCACGAUCUCUAAGUGAAAACGGAAAUAACUUCAAUUUAACAAUAUUAUUAUCCGUAUCUUUCUUGUUUUGCAUAUCACACAAAUCAACAAAGUUGUUUAGAUGAGUAGCGUCAUCUUCGCUAGGAAGGCCGGCGAAUUGAUCUUUCAUAACAAGAUUCAGCAAAGCAGUAUUGAUUUCACAAGACUCAACAUCAUUAAGAGGAGCAAUCGGAGUACUAAGGAAAUCAUUAUUAUUGAUAUUGGAGAAAUCACACAAUUUGGUAUUAUCUUGUGCCAUGGCAACAAGUAAUCCAACACACAAGCAAACAGAAAAAGGCAAGCGAAAAAGAGAGAGAGAGAGAGAUUGGGAAAGGGAGAGCAAAUAAAAUGGCAAGGGUGAAGUGGGGGAGAGGAAAACGAGAGGCAAAUGGCAAAUAAUGUAAAUGCGAGGGAGAUGAGUUUGUGAUGGGUACUUGGUAUGACUUUACUUGAGCGAAGACCUCCCCGGCAACGGCGCCAGAAAUCGCACGUUGGUGGGAGGUCGAAUCUUGACUUGACUUGGUUGAAGCCUCCCCGGCAACGGCGCCAGAAAUCCUUCUUGCUACGUCUUGAGCUUGCAUUGGUUUUCCUUGAAGAGGAAAGGGUGAUGCGUCAAUAGUAGCGUAAGUAUUUCCCUCAGUUUUUGAGAACCAAGGUAUCAAUCCAGUAGGAGGCUCCUCAAAAGUCCCAUGCACCUAAACACACAAACAAAGAACUCGCAACCAACGCAAUAAAGUGAGAUCCGAUAGAGAUAGUAUGAUAAGAUAAAUAUAUUUUUGGUAUUUUAUAAUAUAGAUGCAAAAAGUAAAGAUGCAAAUAAAAUUAGAUUGAAAGCAAAUAAGAUAAAAGAUAGACCCGGGGGCCAUAGGUUUCACUAGUGGCUUCUCUCAAGAUAGCAUAAGUAUUACGGUGGGUGAACAAAUUACUGUUGAGCAAUUGAUAGAAAAGCGAAUAAUUAUGAGAUUAUCUAGGCAUGAUCAUGUAUAUAGGCAUCACGUCCACAACAAGUAGACCGACUCCUGCCUGCAUCUACUACUAUUACUCCACACAUCGACCCACUCCUGCCUGCAUCUAGAGUAUUAAGUUCAUAAAGAAUAGAGUAACGCAUUAAGCAAGAUGACAUGAUGUAGAGGGAUAAACUCAAGCGAUAUGAUAUAAACCCCAUCUUUUUAUCCUUGAUGGCAACAAUACAAUACGUGCCUUGCUGCCCCUGCUGUCACUAGGAAAGGACACCGCAAGAUUGAACCCAAAGCUAAGCACUUCUCCCAUGGCAAGAAAGAUCAAUCUAGUAGGCCAAACCAAACUGAUAAUUCGAAGAGACUUGCAAAGAUAACUCAAUCAUACAUAAAAGAAUUCAGAGGAGAUUCAAAUAUUUCUCAUAGAUAAACUUGAUCAUAAACCCACAAUUCAUCGGAUCUCGACAAACACACCGUAAAAAGAGUUUACAUCGAAUAGAUCUCCACAAGAGAGGGGGAGAACAUUGUAUUGAGAUCCAGAAAGAGAGAAGAAGCCAUCUAGCUAAUAACUAUGGACCCGAAGGUCUGUGGUAAACUACUCACAACUCAUCGAAGGGGCUAUGGUGUUGAUGUAGAAGCCCUCUGUGGUCGAUUCCCCCUCCGGUGGAGCGCCGGCGAAGGCUCCAAGAUGGGAUCUCGCGGAUACAGAAGGUUACGGCGGUGGAAAUUGUGUUUCGGUGGCUCCCUGGAUAUUUUCGGGAUACGUAGGUAUAUAUAGGAGGAAGAAUUACGUCGGUGGCCGCUUGUGGGGCCCAGGAGACAGGGGGUGCACCCAGGAGGGGUGGGCGCGCCCUCGUAUCUCCUGGCCGCCUCGUUUGUUGCUUGACUUGCACUCCAAGUUCUUCGGAUCACGUUCGUUCCAAAAAUCACGCUCCCGAAGGUUUCAUUCCUUUUGGACUCUGUUUGAUAUUCCUUUUCUUCGAAAUACUGAAAUAGGCAAAAAAAACAGUAAUACGGGCUGGGCCUCCGGUUAGUAGGUUAGUCCCAAAAAUGAUAUAAAUGUGUAAAAUAAAGCCCAUAAACAUCCAAAAGGGGUAAUAUAAUAGCAUGGAACAAUAAAAAAUUAUAGAUAUGUUAGAGACGUAUCAAGCAUCCCCAAGCUUAAUUCCUGCUCGUCCUCGAGUAGGUAAAUGAUCAAAGCAGAAUUUUUGAUGUGGAAUGCUACCUAGCAUAUUUCUCAAUGUAAUUUUCUUUAUUGUGGCAUGAAUGUUCAGAUCCAAAUGAUUCAAGAUAAAAGCUUAUAAAACAUAAAAAUAAUAAUACUUCGAAGCAUACUAACAAAUAAUCAUGUCCUAUCAAAAUAGCAUAGCCAAAGAAAGCUUAUCCCUACAAAGUCAUAUAGUUAGGUCGUGCUUCAUUUUCAUUACACAAAAUACUCCCAUCAUGUACAACCCCGAUGACGAGCCGAGCAAUUGGUUCAUACUUUCUAACGCACUUCAGGCUUUUUUCAACUCUUACACAAUACAUGAGCGCAAGCCAUGGACAUAGAACUAUGGUGGUAUAUGGUGGUUGUAAAGACAAAAAGGGAGAAGAUAGUCUCACAUCAACUAGGCGUAUCAACGGACUAUGGAGAUGCCCAUUAAUAGAUAUCAAUGUGAGUGAGUAGGGAUUGCCAUGCAACGGAUGCACUAGAGCUAUAAAUGUAUGAAAGCUCAACAAAAGAAACUAAGUGGGUGUGCAUCCAACUUGCUUGCUCACGAAGACCUAGGACACUUUGAGGAAGCCCAUCAUUGGAAUAUACAAGCCAAGUUCUAUAAUGAAAAAUUCCCACUAGUAUAUGAAAGUGACAACAUAGGAGACUCUCUAUCAUGAAGAUCAUGGUGCUACUUUGAAGCACAAGUGUGGAAAAGAGAUAGUAGCAAUUGUCCCUUCUCUCCUUUUCUCUCAUUUUAUUUUUUCUUUCUUUUCUUUUCUUUUUUUUUCUUUGGCCUUUUUUUUUCUUUUUGGCCUUUCUCUUUUUUUUUCUUUUUUUUCUUUUUUUUAAAGUCUGAAGUCUCAUCCCGACUUGUGGGGGAAUCAUAGUCUUCAUCAUCCUUUCCUCACUCAGACAAUGCUCUAAUAAUGAAGAUCAUCACACUUUUAUUGAUUUACAACUCAAGAAUUACAACUCAAAGCUAGAACUAGAUUGCACCCAUGCUAGACGUUUUUGAAACGCGGCUCUGGACUGGCUUGACAUCAAUCGACCGGAGUUGCACCCACUUACAUGGUCUCGGGAUGUUAUUUGUGAUCCUAUGUUCUCUGAGUCCGAGAGAGCAAAAUUGGUUACUGUCAUGUGGGCGAUCUGGACCUCAAGAAACAAUGCCACGCAUGACAAGAAGGAACUUGAUCCUUUUCAGUCCAUGAAGAAAACCCAAGAAGCUCUAACUGUGCUUGAACUACCUCGCGACCACGCGCGAAUUUUGCCGGGACAUGGUUGGAGACCGCUGGACUUGGGCUGGAUCAAGAUCAACACUGAUGGUAGUGUUGCAAUGGAAGCUAGAAGGGGAGGGGCAGGUGGAGUCGCAAGAACACACUCAUCCUUCCUAGCUGCAUGGUGCAAACCUUACCCGGGAAUCACAGAUCCUCUUAUAGCCGAAGCACUCGCUUUACGUGAUGGUGUUCUCUUUGCUCAUCUUCGAGGCUAUUCUGAGGUUGUUUUCGAGUCUAAUAAUUUGGAGAUUAUGAAUCUCUGGAACACGCGUCACAAUGUUCGUGCGGUCGUGGUGCCUAUCUUGUCCGAGAUUAGGGAGCAUGUUAUUUAUUUUAAGUCUUUUGUAAUUCAGCAUGUAGGGAGGUCAGCUAAUGUUUCGGCUCACCUUUGUGCUAAACAAGCUAGCACCCUAGAUGUAACCGAAUGUUGGAUGGACUCCAUUCCGAGUCUUCUUGUAACCAGCCUCUCAGCUGAUUUAGCUGGAGCUGUUGGUGUUGAAUAAAGAGCUCCCAAAUUUCCCUGCAAAAAAAAGUUAGCUGAAGGCCAUCUCUACCAGUUCUUCUGCAUCCCUUUGCUUAUGUUCCGCCAAGUCAUGACUCCAAAUUUUGAAAAAAAAAAGUAAAGGCAAAAUCACAAUUACACUUUAUAGUAAAGUAUAAGGGUAAAAAUACCGAAAAAAACUAAUAUCAAUGUUUGUCGGUGCAACAUUAGGUAAGUUGGGUGCUUUUGCUGCCUUAGGUGCUUAGAAUUUUUGUUAGAAAGGACCACAUACGCUAUCAUAUUGGCAGAAAAGACCACCCGCAUACCAUAUUGACAGAAAAGACCACGUACGCGGUGGCGGCAGGUCUGGCAGCCGACACGUGGCACCUGCCGCCACAUGUGGAGGCGGCAUGACCUGCCGCCACAACCUCAGGCGGCAGCUCGGCUUCAAUAGAUUUUCGUCCGACGCAGCAACUCGCAACGGGAUAGAAGGAGGUGGCGGGCAACUCCUACAGCGCGACAGCCCGUGCAGCAGCGCGACGCGACGGCCCCAUACAAAGCAGUCAAAAACAACUCGGCCGCUUCCGAGUUUAUGCGCCGCUGCUUGCACCCGAUCCAAUACUGCCUCGCUCUUUCAUUUUCGCUCCCCAAGGCUGAGGAAAAUGUCGAGCAUGUUGGUUCCUCCAUUGCAAAGUUUUUCCACGCACAUACUAGUAUUUGUUUCUACUGCAGCACAUGGCUUGAUCAGGACUAGCAGUACUAGGUAAAUAAUAAAACAUGUCAAAACUAUGAUAGGAGAGCAGGAAUUAGCGUCACUGUACUGCCGCAGCAAAAAGGAGCUGUUGGGCCCGCCACCUAUUCCCGUUCCAUCGGCAGUAGCUGCAUGGGCCGAAAAUUUGUUGCAGCUGAGCUACCGCCUGAGGUUGUGGCGGCAGGUCUAGCCGCCGCUGGCCGUGGCGGCAGCAGCCACGUGUCAGCUGCCGGGCCUGCCGCCACAGUGUACAUGGUCUUUUUUGUCAAUACGGUUUGUAGGUGGUCCUUUCUGUCAAUACAAAAGUGUGUGUGGUCCUUUGUGACGAAAAAUCAGGUUUUGUUAGAAAGGACCACAUACGCUAUCAUAUUGGCAGAAAAGACCACCCGCAUACCAUAUUGACAGAAAAGACCACGUACGCGGUGGCGGCAGGUCUGGCAGCCGACACGUGGCACCUGCCGCCACAUGUGGAGGCGGCAUGACCUGCCGCCACAGCCUUAGGCGGCACCUGAUUUUUCGUCACAAAGGACCACACACACUUUUGUAUUGACAGAAAGGACCACCUACAAACCGUAUUAACAAAAAAGACCAUGUACACCGUGGCGGCAGGCCCGGCAACUGACACAUGGCUGCUGCCGCCACGGCCAGCGGUGGCCAGACCUGCCGCCACAACCUCAAGCGGCAGCUCAGCUGCAACAUAUUUUGAAGUUUUGUUAGAAAGGACCACAUACGCUAUCAUAUUGGCAGAAAAGACCACCCUCAUACCAUAUUGACAGAAAAGACCACGUACGCGGUGGCGGCAGGUCUGGCAGCCAACAUGUGGCACCUGCCGCCACAUGUGGAGGCGGCAUGACCUGCCGCCACAGCCUCAGGUGGCAUCUUGGCUUCAACAGAUUUUCGUCCGACGCAGCAACUCGCAACGGGAUAGAAGGAGGUGGCGGGCAGCUCCUACAGCGCGACAGCCCGUGCAGCAGCGCGACGCGGCGGCCCCAUAAAAAGCAGUCAAAAACAACUCGGCUGCUUCCGAGUUUAUGCGCCACUGCUUGCACCCGAUCCAGUACUGCCUCGCUCUUUCAUUUUCGCUCCCCAAGGCUGAGGAAAAUGCCGAGCAUGUUGGUUCCUCCGUUGCAAAGUUUUUCCACGCACAUGCUAGUAUUUGUUUCUACUGCAGCACGUGGCUUGAUCAGGACUAGCAGUACUAGGUAAAUAAUAAAACAUGUCAAAACUUGGAGAGGAGAGCAGGAAUUAGUGUCACUGUACUGCCGCAGCAAAAAGGAGUUGUUGGGCCCGCCACCUAUUCCCGUUCCGUCGGCAGUAGCUGCAUGGGCCGAAAAUCUGUUGCAGCUGAGCUGCCGCCUGAGGUUGUGGCGGCAGGUCUGGCCGCCGCUGGCCGUGGCGGCAGCAGCCAUGUGUCAGCUGCCGGGCCUGCCGCCACGGUGUACAUGGUCUUUUUUGUCAAUACGGUUUGUAGGUGGUCCUUUAUGUCAAUACAAAAGUGUGUGUGGUCCUUUGUGACGAAAAAUCAGGUGCUUAUCGCAUAGAAAAGGUCAUACGUGUGCGUAUUUGUAUCGUAGAGGUGAUGGUGCGUAUUGGUAGUUGUGGUGUAUCAUACGUGUAUGUAUGUAUGUAUAUUAUAUGUGUAUCACACGUGCAUACUCGGUUGGACAAUGCCGGGUGGGGACGGACAUGUCAACCCAGCGUGUGGCCCGCGCCUCCCUGGCACGUACGGAGCCCGGACCAGCUAGCGUCAUCGCCACCAACACGUACGCUCUUCAUCGAUGGGCGUUGGGCGAGCAUGCAAGCAACGAGCGAAGUGUAGCAGGGCCACCAGGAGACGGGACCCGAGGUUCAUUCUCGGCGGCGCCGCUGCACAGGGUAAGGUUCUCAAACGUGGCAUCGAGCAGGCCCCAAAGUCGCCGUCGCAUGCAUCCACGUUCCCGUCGCCUAUCUCUCUGACUGGUGGGUGAGUCUUUCUCUCCCCGAGCAGAUUGGGCUGGCCUGGAACGCAAGACAGCGUCCCUGCCACUGAGCGAGAGCGUCCCCGCCCUCCACAGCCGUGCGUCACUCCGGCGCUGGCGUCCACCGCACCUCUCGCGCCCCGGUUCGCUCCACUCCGACCGGUCCGGCCACCUCGUCUUCCGCCCUGGUCCCGCCUCCCUCUCUGGCACCGCCGCUUGCUACUGCCAUGACCUUAAGCCCAGAUCUGUUUCCUCCAUGGCCCGGCUGGAGGGAGAGAGGCCGAUUGUUUCCGGGCUGGGGAUCUCGGAGGGCUCGGCGGAGUCCGACGCCCUGCCGGCGGUGGAGUCUGUGCCACGGUCGGAGGCCUCUACCGCGGUGUGGGAGCGACCACCUCCAUCCAAGAAGGAGCUCUGGCGGCUCCGCCACGGCGAGGGAAACCAGGCGGGUCCCUCCAGGGCAAGGCAUGGUGGACCGCCGCCGUUGUGUGUGGAGGUGAUCCCGGAGUUGAGGGAUAGGUGCUUCCGGUGUCUUGAAAAAGGCCACUUUCGCCAUGACUGCACCAACCUGGAGGUCUGUUUCCGGUGCGGGAUGCCUGGCCAUGGCUCCCGUGACUGCAAGCGGCCCAGGAGCCCGUCCUCUACUGAUGAGCUCAUGCGUGAGGCUAUCGCCAUGGUGGCUCGCCGCGCCUCCCCGCGGGUCAGCCCGGAUCGCCCGGUGGCUCGCGCGGCCGCCCCGCCGCCGCCGCCCCCGCCGAUUCCAUGGGCGGCCGAGGUGGCGUGGCCUCGGCUGGCGCCCCCCAGGCUCCAGGUCGCCAUGGAGACGGAUGAGGGCGAAUCGGAAAUCGACGUGGUCCGGCGUUCGCAGUCCAUAGAGGAUCUGGAGCGUCAGCUGCGCUUCGCCAUGGUCGCCUACGUGGGCGGUGCUCGGCGGAGGCUGGCACCACAGCGGGUGCUUGAGGUUCUGGCGGGUAAUCUCGACAUCACGGAGGAUCAAGUCUCGGUUCACAAGUACAGGCCGGAGGAUUUCUUGGUGGUUUUUGCCUCGGCGGCGAUCAGGAACAGAGUUGCGGCGUGCCCGGAGGUGGAGUUUCAGGGAGACCAGCUGCUUUUUAGGCCAUGGAACCGGCAGUCGCAGGCAGUGCACUCGAUCUUUGGCUUCAAGGUUUGGAUCGUCAUGGAGGGGAUCCCUCCCCAUGCUUGGGAGAGGGAGAUGGCGGAGGAGCUGCUUGGGACGGCCUGCAAGGUGGACUCGGUGGCGCCGGAAACUAGCUCCAGGACGGAUCUCUCUGCUUUCAGGCUGACGGCGUGGACUGCCAAUUCGAUGAUGAUCCCUUCCCUUUGCUGGCUCGCCAUCCUGAAGCCCGGAUCGGAGAUGCCCCCGCCGCUGUUGCAGUACAAGGUCCUUAUCCACAUUGACGCGGUGGCGGACUUCAAGGAAGCAGGGGAGCCUUGGUUCUUGGGCGGCUCCUCGGACAGUGGCCAGAGUGGACUGCCAGGCUCACCGGACGAGUUCAGAGAUGGCAGACAGGGCUCGAGGCCGCGACAGCUAGUUUGGCAGUUCGGUGUGCGUGAUGUGCGAGGCGGUGAGCUUGGGCGCGAGGCUAGCGGCGGCGGCCAUGGUGGUACGGCGAGGUGCUCGGCGGAGCCAGACUGGCGCCUGCCCCCGAUGGCCCCCACCCCAGUCACCCUGCCUGGUGGGCCACCUGUGAGGUUGUAGGAUAGGGUGAUGGCUCGGAAGUCAGCUUUUGACCGCCUUUUAGGUCAGCAGAUGGGUGGGGACGCAAGGGAGAAGGUUCCUGAGUGCAGUUUGAACAGGGUUGGCGCGAUGGCUACUGGACAAGUGGUGGAAGUGCAUGUGUUACCGUUGGAGGAAGGCGCGACGAACCGGGUUGGGCAGGAUGGGGAUCCUCAGGCCGACAAACUAAUGGCAGCGGGACAGUUGCCUCUCCAGGGCACGCCUCGGGAUAGCAUGGCGACGGUUGCAUCGGGGGGGUGCGCAGGCCCUGUGAGCCAAUGGUGAGCCCCCUGCGCUCAAGGGAGAGCAAGGCGUUCCCCAUGGGUUCUGGGGGAAUGGACCCACCUGAGAAUCUCGUGUCUGGCUCAAUGCAGGAGGACAGGAAUCAGUUGGUGGGACCCGCUGGGCCACCUAUGGUGAGGGAGAAAGACAGGACUGGCGAGCUACAUGAUAAGGCUCCGGCCUUGGGCGGAGAGCCAUUAAAGGAGGGCCAUGCAGUGGCCACCGAGGGUGGGGGCCAUGACGGGAAUCAUGCACAUGCAUCAUGCAUGGAGGCAUGCACGUACGGCGCCACAGAUUACAUUAACAAGGUCGUGGAGGGCGAUCGCUCUGAGGAUUUAGAUGGGAUCAGGCAGCAGCAGAUGGCCAUUGUACCUGUUGAGCCUGAGCUGCACAGGGAAAUGGCUGCUGCUGGCUGUGACGAGCAAUCUAGUGACGAGACGGCAGGCAUGACGAUGCAAGAGGCCCAAGCCUAUGGCAAGCUGAAGAGUUUUUGCUCCAACAUCAUCAAAAAACUUGCUCCUCCACUGCUGAAGGAGGUGCAGGCUACGCAGUUGCGUCCGGAUGCAGAGCCAUUCACGCCCAAGAGAGCUAUGCAAUCUUCGAAGAAGGCUACGGGACCAAGAAGAACUAAGGAGAAUCCGGCGGAGAACGUGCUGCUCCAUGCCCUUAGCAUGGUUCCGGAGGAUAUGGUGGUCGAUGAUGGGGUGGUCCAUGAGCUCAAGGCUCUAUUUGAUUCUCCACUGCGGGAGCAACAUGUGAGAAUCAUUGCUGCUCUCUUCAGCAAGACCAUCCCAUCGGCGGUGGAUUUGGAGGCGAGCAACUCGGUGAUGAUCUCCGUCAACUAGGAGGUGGGAGGUGGGGUGGGUGGCAGGUCUCUCUAUGGAUCUACACCCCCAAGUGUUGUGCUGGAAUGUUCAUGGCCUGAACAAUCCGGCAAAGCGCAAGGCUGUGAGAGAAUUCGUGGGCACGGUGAAGUGUAACUUGGUGUGUUUCCAGGAAACCAAAAUGGAUGUAAUGGACCAUUUCAUUGUUAUGCAAUGUCUAGGGCCAUCUUUUGAUGGCUUCACUUACUUAUCGUCCCAGGAGACGAGGGGUGGCAUCUUAUUGGCGUGGGAUAGCUUGGUGUUGACGGUGGACACUUUCUAGUAUAACGCUAACUUCAUUACGGGUCUGGUACACACAAAGAUUGGAGACCCUUGGUGGAUUUCGGUGGUUUACGGGCCACAAGGUGACGAGGAGAAGUGCCAGUUCUUGCUGGACCUAGACGCGAGACAUGCGAGGAGUCCGGGGCCGUGGAUGCUGCUGUGAGACUUCAACAUGAUACUUCAUGCCGCGGAGAAGAACAAUAAUAACCUUAACAGAACGAUGAUGAACAAAUUCAGGCAGUUUGUGGCUGAAAAGAGCUCAAGGAGAUGUACAUGCACGGCCAUAAAUUUACGUGGUCCGAUGAACGAAUGAUGCCGACCCUCACCAAGAUUGACCGUGUGCUUAUUUCGGUGGACUAGGAGCUAGAGAAUCCUGCCUAUCAGCUGCAGGCGCUCUCUACUAGAGUUUCAGAUCAUGCACCUUUGCAUUUGUCCACAAGCGCUAGCUUCUGCCCAAAGAAAAGGUUCCGCUUCAAGCUUUUCUGGACGAGAAUGGAUGGCUUCGAGGAUGUUGUGAGAGAUGCCUGGGUGUGUGAUGCGGGCAUUGUUGAUCCAUAUAAGAGGUUGGAUGCUUUGUUGUGGAACACGGCUAGCCACUUGCAAGCGUGGGGCCAACGCAAGUUAGUCAAUGUGAAGAUGCUCAUGCGGGUGGCCACUUGGGUCAUUCAUAGGCUGGACGUAGCCCAGGAGAAUAGAGUUCUGCAGAUGGAGGAGGCGUGGCUACGAAGAACACUGAAACAUUCGCUCCUUGGUUUGGCCGCGCUCGAGAGAACUAUUAACCGGCAAAGGUCGAGGCUCAAGUGGAUCAAAGAGGGUGACGCCAACACCAAGCUGUUCCAAGUUGUGGCCAAUGGCAGAAGGACCAAGAACUACAUCCCUCAUAUCAAGCAUGGAGGCGAAAUCAUUACGGGCCAGGAGAGAAUGGUGGACACAUUCGGGGAGGUGUACAAGCAACUGAUGGGCACGGCACAGGCCAGGGAUCACACCCUCAACUUACAAUACCUGCAGAUGGAGCCGGCUGAACUGAGCAUGCUUGAGGAGAUCAUCACGGAGGAGGAAGUUUGGCAGGUCAUCAAGGAAAUGGCACCGAAUCGUGCACCGAGACCGGAUGGUUUCAUCGGAGCGUUCUUCCAAAAAAACGCAUAUGUGGGGGACACUAAACUGGACAUCAUGGCCGUGAUGCUUAAGCUAUAUGUGGGGGACACUGGGGGCUUUUCUAAGCUCAACAAGGCGCAUAUAAUCCUCAUUCCAAAAAAACCGGAUGCGGAGGAGGUUGGGGAUUACCGGCCGAUCAGUUCAAUCCAUAGCAUCCCCAAGCUCUUCGCUAAGGUUCUCGCCAACCGGCUGCGCAGUCAAAUGCCGGAGAUUGUGGCCAUGAAUCAAUCUGCGUUUAUUAAAGGAAGGCAUCUGCAUGAUAACUUCUUGUUGGUGCGGCAAGUGGCGCGGAAGAUUCAUGCUAAAAGAGUCCCAGGAGUGUUCAUGAAGCUGGAUAUCUCAAGGGCUUUUGACUCGCUAUCAUGGACUUUUUUGUUCGAGGUGAUGCGGGCAAAGGGUUUUGGGCAGAGAUGGAUGACUUGGAUAAUGGCAAUUCUGCACUCGGCUAGCACCAAGGUGGUGGUGAAUGGUGUUCCGAGAAGGAGUUUCUUGCACGCCUGCGGUCUACGCCAAGGCGACCCAAUCUCGCCAAUGCUCUUUGUCAUUGCCAUGGAUGCGCUAACGGCGCUUGUUCACAAGGCCUCAGAUUUGGGAGUGCGCAGCUCAUACACCGGCAUUUCGUCGCUGCAAAGGAUUUCGAUCUAUGCGGAUGAUGUAGCGCUGUUUGUCAAGCCUUCGUGGCAAGACUUGUCGGCCGUUCGGAAGAUGCUGGACGUGUUUGGAGAGGCCUCCGGACUGAAAGUUAACUACCGCAAAUCAUUGGCGAUUUUGAUCCGAGGCGACCAGGAGGACAAGGAUCGAGUGGCUGGAUUACUGCACUGUGGGCUUGCUGAAUUUCCAUGCAAGUAUCUUGGCCUACAGCUUGCCAUCAGAAGCUUAACGCGGGCCGAAUGGAUGCCCAUGCUGGACCUAGUCCGGAAGGUGAUUCCCGCCUGGCAAAGAGGCCUUAUACAGCGGCCCAGUCGGCUUGUUUUGGUUCAGUCUGUCGUUGUAGCUAGACCGGUGCACCACCUGAUGAUUACGGACGCUCCAGUGUGGGUUUUCGAGGAGAUGGAUAAAUGGAUGAGGUCGUUCUUUUGGGCUGGUAAGGAGAAAAGCAAUGGAGGACAAUGCCUGGUGGCUUGGGACUAGGUCUGCAGGCCGAAGCAGUUGGGAGGUCUAGGGAUUAAGAACUUGAAGGCCCAGGCCCUAGCCUUGAGAGUGAGGUGGGAGUGGCUUAGGAGAACUGACCCCGGCAGACCAUGGCAAAGUUUACCUAUGGCGGAGGAUCACAACGCAAGGGCCGUGUUCGACGCCAUGGUCGGGAUUGAGGUUGGGAGGGGUGAUAGCGUCCUGUUCUGGAGGGACAAGUGGGUACACGGGUUCGGCGUAGCUGACAUCAUGCCUCGCUUGAUGGAGACGGUGCCAACGAGGAUUGCUAACAGCCGGACCGUUCAUCAAGCACUCGCGGAGGACAGGUGGUAUGAGGACUGCGAAGCUACUGCUUCCUUCACUGCCCAAUUACAGUGCAUGCACCUUUGCCAUGCGCUGGCAUCGGUGCACCGAGACGAGAAUGAGCCAGACAAAUUUGAUUGGCCGGCGACGACCACGGCGACCUACUCGGCCCAAUCGGUCUAUUCCUACCUCUGCUCGGGGCUCCAGAGAUCACCGACGGCGGCUUGUACUUGGAGAAACUGGGCGACGCUCAAGUGCAAGCUAUUUAUCUGGCUAGCGCUGCAAUACAGAUUAUGGACAUUAGACAGAAGAGCACGUCACGGUCUGCAGGACCAACCAUCUCCCUGCUUCACGUGCUUACAAGCAGAGGACAAUGUUGAUCACAUUCUGGCCAAGUGUACUUUUGCGCAGGAGGUGUGGCACCGAGUGUUUGACAUGCUAGGCAUCAAUGCUCUAGGAACAACUCAGAAUGACACCUUCUCGGACUGGUGGAUGAGAGAAAGGAAAAAAUUUAGGGGAGCAGACAGAAGAGGUUUUGAUACGCUGGUGAUGGCCGGGGCUUGGAUACUUUGGAAGCAAAGAAACGCAAGGGUGCUCAAUAGACACGAUCAACAAAAGCCGGCACCCCUUUCUACUAACCUAGUGCUCGAUGAAAUCACGACUUGGCACACGGCAGGACGUGGAGCGGGACGUCUACAACGAUUCGUGAGGAGUUAGUCUAGCGCGCAUGGAGUUGGAGUAGGUGUGUGUUUCUCAUCCUGGGUUGUUCGCACCCGAGAUGAGCCUCUUGUAAAUAACUCUCUUUUUGUCUAUAAAGAUAUGGUACGCCAUUGGCGUACUUUCAAAAAAAAGUCUUUCUCUCCUACGCGCGCGACGUGAGCGGGUGGACGUGUUAAAGAAAAUACUGAGCAGUCUUUGCAUUUGUUAGCUGCAGUGUCCAAAUGCAUCUAACAAAACGAGUCAACCCAAACCAAAGCAAGCAGUAACAAGUACUCCCUCCGUUUUUAUUUAGUUCGUUAUUAGCUUUGGUAAAAAUCAAGCUUUGUAAACUUUGACUAAGUUUAUAAAUAAAAAUAUUAACAUAUACACUAACAACCCAACAUCAUUAGAUUCAUUAUUGAAUGUACUUUUACAACAUAUAGAUUUGUUAUGGUAAAUAUUUAUAUUGUUUUCUAUAAAUUUGAUCAAACUUUACGAAGAUUGACUUCAGUCAACUCUAAUAUGCAAAGUAAAUAAAAACGAAAGGAGUACUAAAAUUUUUCUAGGGAUUAGGACAAGUCAUGACCCCUGUUUUAUAAAAACAGUUACCUGAAGAAUUAGGACGCGUCUGGGAUGUAUGAGCAGCAGUAUUAAACACAGAGUCAAACCCAUAGUAGUUAACCAGCACCUCCCCUUCUCUCUCUCUACUUCUCCUUGCAAGGGAACAAGAUGAGGAAGCAAGGUUGAAGAACAGGAGCAAACAGAGCUUUUUAGAUCAUGAUCCCAAGAUGUGAGUACAGUAGUACAAUGAUAUGAUCGUCGAUCGCCCACGCGUCGAUCGGACGAUGCGUGCUGCCACUGCCCCCGGCGAUAUAUGAGGCGCCACGGGGGAGCGUCGCCGCCGUCGGGCGGGAACCUGACUCUCUCACCCGGGUGCUGAACCUCCCUCCCUCCCCAGCAACGCGCUCCGGAACCUCGAGGUGCUCGUCGCUGCAGUUCCUUCCAGGCCGGCUUCCUUCAACACCUUCCUUCUCCGGGACGUGACUGUUGGAGGCGCUCACCGGUCUCCAGGAGCUCUCGCGGUGCCGCCCCGAAACGGCUAGCUCCGCGUACGUGCUCAACCCCCGGAACAACACGUUCGCGGGCCAGCGACAUCGAUCGGCCUAGACCUUGGCGCGCUCAAGUCAAGAACGUCGACCUCGGUGUCAACAACUUCACGGGGCCCAAUCCAUCCCGGCGAGCCUCCCCGAGUGCAGGGGCAUGACUUGACGGCACUUGUUUUGUUUGGGGCCAUCCUCCUCCGAUCCUGGUUUUGCCGGCCGACCCUGCGCAUCGGCGUCACUGUGAACCUCGACGCGCGGCACGCCGAUCGAGGGUCAAGAAGCCGGCCAGCCGGAGUGGGUCGCCGCCAGCGGGAGGCUGGCCUAGGGCCGAACAGUUGGUCGGCGUGGCUGCAUCCGAACCGGAAAUCGUCGGGGUCAGCGUCAGCUUGUCGGAGCUGUACGUGCUGGUGCUGUUGGAGCCGUGGCCAUACUCGACAAGGUACUGGCAGAGCGACGAGCAGCCAUUGAAGACGUCACGGCCGAGCCCCAGGUGGCACUCCCGGAGUACGUUACAGGAGAAGGCCGAGUACGUGGCCGAUCUGCAUGGCUGGGUCGAACACGGAGUUCUUCUGGCGGUGGCAUGGCUCCGGGACGGGGCACGGGCGGCACAGCACCCACGAGACUGUUAGAAGUAUAAUUAUGUUUAAGUUAAAGAUAGGAUUGGUUUAAACCAUGUACGACUUGUCCCCUACUUCAAGUCUCUCUUACAUAUUGUACUUUAUAUAUAUCCCACACCUGGGUCAGAUCAAUACAACAACAGAAUUAUUAGUCAUCCUAUAAUUUCUACAUGGUAUUAGAGCGGUUAGUCUCACGACGCCGGUCCUAAGACCUUCCACCACUUCCGCAGUGCGCCGCCCCCGGGGAGAUCAAUCUUCUCUCCCUGGGGGCGCGGCACCCGAUCAAUCAGAGAUUAGAUCGGUUCUUGUAGUUUAGAUCAAUUUCUUGGAUUAGAUACAAAAAUUCAAAAUUCCAGUUAGAUCAAUUUUCCUUGGCCACAAAUAAAUUCCUAGAUCUCCACAAUCCUAUGUCCGCUGAAAAUUUGUGCAGAUCAAUCGUUAAUGUGUGCAAAUACGGCGACACAAGCGGCUGCUUCUCCAUCACAUGCGCCGGCCGGGUCAUCCGAUGCAAGCGACAACAUCAAGCACCAGCAGGCACCAGUCGGCUUCCAGCCCGCUUCGAUCCGAUCGCCAUCGACUCUGCCUCUGCACCGAGCACCACACCGCCCGCCAGAGAAGUCUGGGAUCGCGGGAGGGCGUCUCCCGCCCAGAUUUCCAUCGCGAACGAGUGCGCGGAUCUCCCGGCGACGUUCGCGAGCGACUUCAAUCGGCUUCCUCCCGUAGGCGCCGCUUCCGAUCUACGUCGACCCGAUCGAGGCGGAUCACGCACACAGCUUGGAUCCGAUCUACAAUGGUCUCAGGCUCACGCGCAGGGCGCAGCUACCCCGAUCCAUGCGGCAGCGACGGCGGUGGUGGCGGCGCCAACCUACUUCGGCAGCCGACACAUCGUCGAGCCAUACAAGUCUACAGCCAGCCACGAGCCGUCCGAGCGAACUACAUCGAGCGCCCGAGUCUUCCCCGAGCCGGCCCCACAAGCUUCGUCGAGCAGACCAGAAUCGUGUGGCUUCUCCGCGGCGGCACGUGCAUGGUUCAGCAGGCGCGCACGGCUUCAAUCAGCGACCACCUGCGGCGGCGCGGGACUCCGUCCAGCUCAGGCGCAAGUCAGCUUCGACCCGGCAGGCAACGUGAAUGCAAACAUCACUCGGCCACAUAUGCAUGGACGUGAGGCCCAAGAGAUUACAUGGUUGCAUGCAGGUUAUUCAUCGAUGCUAAUUACUUAGGGUUUCCGGCUGCGAUCAGAUGCAAUCCUUGAACUCGCUGCACCUCCAACCGGCCUCCUGCGCACACGGACUCCAUCGAGAGUUAUGUUCCACAAGACCACGACGCAAGAGUUUGUCUCGGAUCACGGAAGGGCAAUAUGCCAGCAUCAACCGCGGGCGCCCCAAGCACGCUACAUCGACACGCCAUCUGCACAGUUAUUCUUCGUCGAGCCCAAUAUCAACACCGAGUUGCAUCAUCCACAUGCCAGGCCGGUGUGGAAUGUGUGCAAUUCUUCAUCGACUUCUUCAGCACGACACGACAUCGACACCCCGUCGUCACGAGGGACGCCUCCAAGCGACGCAUCAUUGUCGACAUGUCGUUGCAUCGCCGACACUUCACCGCCAAUGUCUUCAUCAACAUGGUCUUCACCAACAUCAUCGUCGACACACCGCCACCGUCUCGUACACAAGAUGGACAACUAGCGUCCUCUGACAGAUUUUUUCUGCAAGACGCGACCAUGACGACGGCAAUGAUCGCGUCACGACGACGGCAUCGACCGCGUCAUCCACGACAACACGACUGCAUCGACACGGCGUCACUCCAGUGACGACCCUACACGACCACACGGUUCUGGCAAAACUGAUGUGUGCUCGAUGGGCUUCCUCCGGUCUUGGCAAAAUUGGCGGACUCAUCGCCGACGGCACCCUCUGACAUCUGCAAGAUGUAUCGUCCACGUCUGCAGCCCCGUCAUAGCGCAUUUUUUUGCGCCUCCGGCUGUGUGCGGUUUCAUCAUCCACGACGACCACACCAUCGACCACGGCUACAUCACCAUGAUCGGCUACCUAGACAUUGACAUUGAUGACUACGUCUACAGCAACUCAUCGGCAACAACUUCAGUCAACAGCGUCCGCGUCGUCACUACCGUCCACGCCACUCCCGCUGUGACUGCGGGAGGGAAUAGAGGAGAAGGCAUGAAGGCACCAGAAGGGGACGCAGUCACCGCCCUAGGUGCCAAUCCAUCAGAGACGCAGUUGAUGAUGGCGCGGCGGAGAAGACGACGAAAGCGCAAGACUUCAAAUCCAGUCAUACUCGUCCGCUUCACUCCCGCUACGACUGAGGGGGAAUGUUAGAAGUAUAAUUAUGUUUAAGUUAGAGAUUAGGAGUUAGAGAUAGGAUUGGUUUAAACCAUGUACGACUUGUCCCCUACUCCAAGUCUCUCUCACAUAUUGUACUCUAUAUAUAUCCCACACCUGGGUCAGAUCAAUACAACAACAGAAUUAUUAGCCAUCCUAUAAUUUCUACAGAGACGUUGCUGAGGUGUCGAUGUGCAUGGUCUGGGUGAUCGCUGGCGUGCCGAGCCCCACGGUGACCACGUAUAUCUAUUAACUUNNNNNNNNNNNNNNNNNNNNNNNNNNNNNNNNNNNNNNNNNNNNNNNNNNNNNNNNNNNNNNNNNNNNNNNNNNNNNNNNNNNNNNNNNNNNNNNNNNNNNNNNNNNNNNNNNNNNNNNNNNNNNNNNNNNNNNNNNNNNNNNNNNNNNNNNNNNNNNNNNNNNNNNNNNNNNNNNNNNNNNNNNNNNNNNNNNNNNNNNNNNNNNNNNNNNNGAGCAGCCGUACAGUACGUCGAAACCAUCACGACACGAAGACGGGACGCCAAGGCACCGCGCCGUCGAAACCACCUGCAGACAUCCUCUGCGCCUGUCAGAUUCUCCUUCAUUGACCUGUCCAUCGGGUCCGGCGGCCGGUGCUCUUCCUUAAGCUCGAUAUCGUAAAGGCAUUUGACUCAGUGUCUUGGCCAUAUCUGCUGGGCAUGCUGCGCGCGAGAGGGUUCGGCAGACGUUGGUGUGAGUGGAUGUCUAUGAUGCUGUCAACUGCCUCCUCCCGUGUGCUCAUCAAUGGCCAUGCGGGGGAGCUUAUCCAGCACCGGUGUGGCCUUCGACAAGGUGACCCGCUCUCGCCUUAACUCUUCAUUCUGGCGAUGGAGCCGUUGCAGCGCAUCCUGGAUCUCGCCGUCCCCGCGGGAGCCAUCUCGCCGCUCAGAGGAAGGAUCCCUCGGUUCCGCACCUUGCUCUACGCGGAUGACGUGGCUCUCUUCCUCAAUCCCGUCCGAGCUGAGCUGGCCAUGGUGCGCGCCAUUCUCACCUCCUUCGGACUGGUCUCGGGGCUGCAUGUCAACUUCUCCAAGAUUGUGGUCUUCCCAAUCUGCUGCGAGCUCCAGGACGUGCCCAAUAUCGCCGAACCGCUCGGGGCUGAGGUCUCCUCCUUCCCUUGCAAGUUCCUUGGCCUGCCUCUUUCCCUCAGGCGGCUACGCAAGAUCGACUGGAUGCCUUUGCUGGACAAGAUCCGGGCGCGCCUGGCAUUCUGGAAGGCCACGCUGCUCUCCAUGGCAGGCCGAUUGGUCCUCUUUAGGCCAACUCCACCGCGCGAACCUAUCAUGUCCGCCCCCGUCCGUUUGGGGUAAAAGGGACAAACGAGACGGCCCAGCGCGCGCAAAUGGACUUUUGUCCGCUUUCGACCCAUCCCCGGCCCAAGUUUGCGCCGGUUUUAGGGUGAAACGGACAACGCGCGGACGGGCGGGACGCGCGCUUGUCCUCCCCUGGCCCGCCUGUUGAUGGGAGAAACUAAAACCCCCCACGCCCAUUUGGCGCCAUUUGCCCCAAACCCUCCCACGUCCCUCCCGCCGCCCCCUCUCUCCCCCGUCCAUGGCCGACGCCCCGCCGAGUUCCGGCGGCCUGGCCGUCGACCCGCCCGCAAAGGUGAAGAAGAAGGCGCCAAGAAAGCCGCGGUCGGAGUGCACGCCGGAAGAGAUCGCCAAGUUGGACGCAGAAUCGGAAAAGAGGAGGGAACGGAGAGCGGUCGUCAAGGUCAAUGCCGCCGCGGCCAAGUUCGCCGCCCAGCGCGAGGAGCUGGAUGCCGCGCGGCGCAAGGCCGCUGCCGACGAGAAGGAGGACCUCGUCAACAAAGCGCACGCCAUCCUAAUGCUUGGUAUGGGUCGUCCUGCCGGGUUCCCUGCAGCAGCCGUCGGCCCGGCGAGCACAUGCUCGUCGGUCGCCCGGCCUACGCACUGCCAGUCGCCGACGUCGCGCACCGCGCCCAUGUCGCUCGGCUUUCCUCCGCCAAGGCACGACGGCCAGACCCGUUUCUCGGGGUCGCCGGACGUGGGCUUGUUCGCUCAUCCACACCGCGCCCCGCGGCCGUCAUCGACCUCAACGUCACGCCUGGGUCCAGCAGCGGCGGCCGGCCGUCCGUCCAUAUGAGAAAGCAGGCACGGGCACCAUUCACGGGCACCAUGCCGCCCCCCGCGUCUUGUUUGACGGAAUGCCAACCCCAACGCCAGCGGUCGACGACCCCUUCUACAACCGCUACAUGGAGGACGUGAUCUUCGAGGGUGGGCAUGACCAUACCUACGACCCCGAUGAGACCCAAAGUCAGGAUGGCCGCGCCGAGUACGUCCCCGAUGAAGAGGCCGACGACCGUGCUGACUACGGCCAUGGUGACUCAUGGCAUGAAGAUGAUGACAUCUAUGUCGAAGGUGAUGAUGAAGAAGAAGAAAGCAAUGUCGUUGAUAUUAGUGGUGCGCCAUUGUUCAUCGACGAGCUCACCCAAAGAGCGGAGGCACAAAAGAAGAGGAAGAGCAUUCGCACGGGUUCAUAUACACAAGAUGAGGACAAGUUGAUUUGCGAAGCUUGGAUGGAGAUUAGCCAAGAUCCGAGGACCGGCGCGCAAUAAAAGGGCAUUGUUUUUUGGACGAGAGUCCACAAAACAUUCCAUGAAAGGAAGAUGUUUGAGCCCUACCAAAUUACAAGCAACCGUGGCAUCGACUCGAUUCAAAAAAGAUGGUUGUUCAUCCAACAAGAGUGCAACAAGUAUUGCACCGCAUUUGAGAGCGUUGAAGCACGGCCCGUGAGUGGUCUCGGCGUUGGGGACAUGGUAUGCUCUCCUCUUUCUAGCCCUUUCCUUGCUACGGCCAUGAGACUUUGGCCGUGUAUAUGUUUGCAUGUUCACUUGUUGUUGAUCAUGUGGUGUAGGCAUUUCAAUCUUUGGAGGCAUUCAAGGCCCGGCACAAUGACAAGCCAUUCACUCUUACGCAUUGUUGGACGAUCAUCAACAAUUGCCCUAAGUUCAAGGAUCAAUACCGUGAACUUCAAAGAAAGAGAGGCAAGAAGACGGCCAAGUUCGCCGGAGGUGGGGAUGGCGAGGCGUUGAAGAGGCCGAGGGGCAAGACCAACUCUAAGGUGGACGACAUACGUGACGCCUCAUCCAUGGCCUUGCAUGAGACUUUGCAUGGCAUGAUGUCCCAAAAGGAUGUGAGGGACGAGAAAAAGCGGCAAAGCAAGGACGAGAAAAUGAAGCAAUACCUAGACCUUCAAAGACAGAAGCUUGAGAUGGAGGAGGCGGCCAAUAGGAGGAAGAUCGACAUGGAGGAGGCGGCCCGGCAAAGGCAGCUCGACAUGGAGGAGGCGGCCCGGCAAAGGCAGCUCGACAUCGAGGCCGACAACGUCAAGGCCAGGCAGAGGCAGCUCGACAUCGAGGCCACCAAUGCCGCCACCAAAGCGAAGGAGGUGGCCCUUGCGAUCAUGAGCGUGGACUUGUCGAAGAUGAGCGACAAGACGAGGGCCUGGUUCGAGGCCAGGCAGAAGGAGAUGCUCGACGCCGAAGGCCUGAACUAGGUCGUCCGAUCGGCGUGGCCGUUCUUUUUGAGGAUGGCAAGGGUGCCGCCCGCCCGUCGGGCCGCUGGCAGUGUCCGGUGAGAAAACAUUCAUUUUGGAGGCCGGCUGUGUUGCCGGCCGCUGGCUGUGUUGCCAGCGAGGAGAACUAUUUAUUUUGGAGGCUGGCUAUGUUGCCGGCCGCUGGCUGAUGCCGGCGAUGGACGUGUAGGCCGCUGGCUCUGUUGCCGGCGUGAUGAACCGGGGCCGCUGGCCUGAACUAGGGCUUGGCAUUUGAAACGUUGCUUUUAGUUUUUUAAGUAGACGCAGACAGGAUGGGGCAAAUGGAUGCGGCCGCGCGCUGGGCGCACGGCCACCGGAUCCCAGGACACGCCCGGACACGACCCCAAAUCCCUACCCAAACGGACAGAAUCCGGACAAAACGGACGUCCGUUUGGGGUCGCGCGGUGGAGUUGGCCUUAACGCGAUCCUCUCCGCCUUCACGGUCUACUGGUUGUCCAUGUUCGAGCUACCGCCUUGGGCGCGUGCCAAGAUUGACAGGCUGCGUCGUGCCUGGCUCUGGAAGGGUGAGGAGUCCUGUCACGGCGGGCACUGCAAGGUCGCAUGGGGGAUUAUCUGUCGGCCGUGCCAGCUCGGUGGCCUCGGUGCGAUCGACCUGGUGCGUUUUGGUGCCGCCAUGCGCCUACGUUGGUUGUGGCAGGAGCGUGUCUCCCUGACCAAGCCCUGGAUCAGCCUCCCGAUGCCUUGCACGAUCGUUGACAGAGCCAUCUUUGCAGCAGCAACAUGUGUGACCAUCAGUUGUGGGGAGUGUGCUCGCUUCUGGUAUGAUAGCUGGCUCGACGGUUGCGCGCCAUUCACCAUGGCGCCCGAACUCUUCGCAGUCUCCAGGCGCAAGAAUCGUUCGGUCCGAGAGGCAUUGCAUGGCAGGCGAUGGGUGUCCGAUCUUCAGGGAUGGAUCACUGCGCACACCCUGCCUGCAUUCGUAAGCCUAUGGUCCGCGAUCAGCCAGGUAGCGGCCUGAUGAGUGUGAUGCUUUCUCAUGGAAGCCCAACGAGAGUGGCUCCUUCACGGUGACGUCUGCUUACAUGACUCAGUUUCUUGGAUCUACAGUCUCACCGCUAUGGGCCUCGGUUUGGCAGGCUUGGGCACCGGUGAAAUGCCGCCUUUUCGCCUGGUUCUUUGGCCAGAAUAGGAUCCUUACUGUUGACUGCUUGCUUGCCAGGCAGUGGCCGAACUCCUACUUCUGCCUGCUCUGUCGCCGAAACUUGGAGACCGUCGAGCAUCUCCUGAUCACCUGCCCCUGGUCGCAGCAACUCUGGGCGUGAGUUGCCGAUCGCUUCCGCUUGCCUGGAUUUCUUCCUGCUUCUUGGCCUCGUUGGACGUCUCUCCACGAGUGGCUCUCUAAUCUCUCGGCAGAUGCGUCCUUGGCCAAACGCAACAAGUCGAUGGCGCUGAUGGUCCUUUGGUUCAUCUGUAGGGAACGAAAUGGCCGUAUCUUCAGGAACAGCGAGCACCCGGUCUCCCAGGUGCUGGAUCAGCUGCUCGAUGAAGCUAGGCAAUGGGCGCUCGCCGGAGGCCGGCAUCUGUGCUGGGAGUAGUCGCUUAACGUUUCUUUUUUUUUUGUCUCUUCUUUCUUUGCCGCUGCUCUUGUGGCCGGCUCUUUGUACAGUUGGCUCCAGCCGUUCUUCCGCUUAAUGAAAUCACAACUCUCCUGCGCUCUUUCAAAAAACAAAAACAGUACUAUUAAUUGUAACAAAAAAAAAUUCCAAACACAUACUCAUCGGUCGGUUUGGUCGAUCCGUGGUCGGCUCAAUGACACCGUGAACCGACCGAUGAACAAAGUCGCAAGUGAUCUUGGGUCCGUAUGGUGGGCGCCAGGGCGGUCCAACACCGUGGACUAACCGAUGGACGGGCCACGAGCACGCACACACGACGGCAUCGGGCGUCGUCGACCGUAACCGUGUACCGCCUCGAUCGAUCCCUGGGCUGCUGCACGAUGAUGUGCGUCGCGUCGCGGCAGACCGUGCAUGGUCCGUGCCUGCCUACCUUACUUUGACACGGUGCGACCGAGCCGAUGUCCCGUGCGUGAGUGAUCGAUGGCCCUGAUCGACGACGCAUGGAUGACCCGGAACCACCCCCCGCCUUCCCCUCCAGCGCGUGUCUGGCCGGCAUCGAGACCGACCGACCGGUCAGGCAGCGAGUUGGCGUUGGCCGGCCACGAGCACGACGCUAUCGGCCGAGUGUGCUCGAUCCAACCGUGUACCCCCGUGCUCCGCACCGAUGCGCACGUCUCGUGUUCCGUCCUUUGCACGGAACCAGCGAGCGAGCCUCCCAUCCCGUCCCCUUUCCCUCCCCUCCCCUCCCCAAAAUAAGUAGUACGCCGCCCUCUCCUUCCCCAAUUUCCAAAUUCAAAAUCGAAAUCGCCCACCUCUCCGCCCCGCCCUCCCCGAGCACCAGAACCUCCACCGGCCACCCCAGAGCUCGCCGUCUCCCAUGGCGGCCCCGGCCCCCCUCGCCGUUGAUUCCCUUGGCGCGGCUAUCGAGGCGUUCAUGAACGCGCCCACCGCCCCGCCGCGUGGUGGUCAUCACCUCCGUCGAGGUCGCCCACUCCGCCGCCCUCCUCGCGUUCCUCGAGUUGCAGGCGGACCGCGACCUCUGGGAGAUCGAGAAUGGCGGCCGCCUCAACGAGCUCGCCUCGAUCGACCGCAUGUUCCACGCCAUCGUCGUCGAUGUGCUCCCGGUACUCGUCGCCGACCCUGUCGCUGCUGUCCCGCUACGCCGUCUUCAUCCAGGCCUCCGCCCCCGCCGUCGGCGGCGACUUCGAGCACAGCGCCACGCUCAUCUGCCAGGACAUGAUCGCGUACGCCGACAACACCCGCCGACACCCCCCGCGACUCUCCGCCGCCGACCUGCUCCGCCGCCUGAAGAUGUUCCGCUUGGAGACAGUCACCAUCGCCGACCACGGCAUCAACGACGACAGCCACGUGUUGGCGUGGAUGAUGGGCCUCGACCACAUCCACGUGAACUCCUUCCGCCGCCUCGCGAGCCUUAGGGAGGAGGUCUUCGACGGCCCCCCCGCCGAGUACCGAGUCACCAUCGACGCCCUCCCCGCCUCCCACUCCUCCGCCCUCCUCGGCGUGGUGUACUUCGAGGGCGGCGCCAGCGACUGGAUCGUUCGCAACGCCGCCCGCCUCACUGCCCUGGCGAACGUCGACGUCUCCUUCCAGCUCAUCGGCCUCGGCCUCCUCCCCUUCCUCCACGACAACCCCACCAGCCAGCCAGCGCUUCGGUUCCUCGUCGACUACGUCCGCGACGUCAGGGAGAAGGUCGGAGCCAUGGGCGGCGAGUUCGUCACGCACGCCACUGACAUGUGUGACAACCUCAUUGCGAACGGCACGCGCCCCCUCCCGCCCCCGGAGAUGAGGAUGGUUACGGAGCAGCUGCGCCGGGAUCUCGAUGUCUUCAGAUCCCGCGACCUGUCCAUCCACGAGUCCGACUCCACCGGCGAGCCCACCUCAGGUUCGUCUGACGCCUCGGACUCCACCGGCGAGCCCGCCUCAGGUUCGUCUGACGCCUCGGACUCCACCGGCGAGCCCACCUCAGGUUCGUCUGACGCCUCGGACUCCACCGGCGAGCCCACCUCAGGUUCGUCUGACGCCUCGGACUCCACCGGCGAGCCCACCUCAGGUUCGUCUGACGCCUCGGACUCCACCGGCGAGCCCACCUCAGGUUCGUCUGAUGCCUCGGACUCCACCGGCGAGCCCACCUCAGGUUCGUCUUAGGCACAGAUAUAUGGUGUUUGCCUGCGUUCCUUAUGAGAGGGAGAAUUCUGGCUUAACGAGUUGCUGCUAAGACUUGGCCAUAGUGAGUUUUGGAUGGCGAGACUACUGAUGAUAUGUACCUGGAUUAUAUUGCCUGUUAAUCAAUACUCUUAAUAUGUACUUCGCCAUAGAGUACUGAUGAUAUAGUUCGUGAUUGUUUGUGUUGAUUGUUUAUCCUUGUAGGAUGUGCAAUUGCUUCUCUGAAAGCUAUAUUUUACUAGAACAGUAGUUCCUUCUGAUAUGCUCUGUACAUAUUGCAUUGUUGCUCAUCAGUCUUUUGUCCAUUUAAUUGUUGCUCUUUAAAACUUACAGUAGCACCAUUUCCAUUUGAAUGGAAUGAUUCCAAAAUGCAAUUGACUAUUUUCAAGGAACUAUAUUCACUACCUGUGAGUUUGAAAAAUAAAAAUGCGGUAUGUAUACUCUGUCAGAAAUGUGAAAGACUCUGCAUAAUACAACUUGUCCUAGUUUAUAUCAUUAUAUAUGCUAUAAUAAUUCCAUCAUCUGAAAUAAUAAAAUUGGAAAGAUUCAGAUCUGAGAAUAAUUGUUUAUUUUGGAUGAUCAUAGGAUUCAAUACUAUAUUAAGCUUGAUGGCCAUUAUUUCUCAUGGUUACCAUAUCAAUUCGACCUUGGAACUGUCCUCCUGCAUGUUUGAGGUUAAGAGUGGACACUGAUGAUAUGUACACGAAUUAUAUUGCCUGUUAAUCAAUACUCUGAUGGUAGCAUCAUGUCCGUGACUAGUGCAUUGAAUUUUGCUUUGAACUUGUUAUUUGUCAGCUUGUAUUCCUUAAUUAGAGCACACCAUCUUUCUCCAAAUUCUGAUGGUAGCAUCAUGUCCGUGACUAGUGCAUUGAAUUUUGCUUUGAACCCAUAGUGCUUGGAAUAUUAAUUCCAAUUUUCGAUUUUGCAUUCCUUAGAACAUGCCAUUGGCACCAUCUAUGAUUAGAGUGCGGCCAAGUUGUUUUCAGAGCUGCUUCCAUUGCUGAUGCUUGAUCUGGAACAUGAGAACAUCAAAACCCUAUUAGAUAGGUCAACAUUUCCGGGAAUGAUAAGUAUGUGUAGUGAUAACUGAUUUGGUCACAGCAAAAAUAACAGACUAACCAGUUAAUAUUAUUGAUAGCUUCACAUUCCCCAUAACUCUAGCAAAAGUGGAGAAAACCCAUUCAAAUGCUUCUGUAGUUUCAGCUGUCAUUAGAACACCAGCAAAUACAACUGUCUGGAAGUGGUUGUUGGCUCCAACAAAUAAGCCAAACGGCAUCUUAUAAAGAUUUGUUCGAUAUGUCAUGUCAAAUGUUACCACAUCGCCGAAAUGUGAAUAGUCAACUUUGUUCUUGCCUGAGCACCACAACAUAUUCGUUAUUGUUCCUUCACUAUCAACAUCCAAAGCAACAAAAAAUGUAGGGGCUGUCAUUUUGAGUUGUUCUAAAACUGCAACUGUUUUGCCAAUGUCAUCUUUCAAUUUCUCCUGGGCAAGUCGUGAACAGAGGUUCCCACAUGCUCAUAGUUGUAAUCUCUUGAUGCAAAAUCUGCUAGAGAUCGAAGGCUGUAUCCCUCACCCACCUACACAGCUAGGUGGACUGGCAGUCCAGACUCACCAUGACGGCGCUGGUUUCUCUGCAUCCAGAGUGACCACAUCCCAUGUAUGAUCACCGCCCUGUCCUUCCUAGAACACACCCUGUCAUCAAGCAAAUCACUAGCCCAUGAAGUCGGAUGAAAGACAGGCAAUUUAACCCCUGUGAUCUUUUUAGCUUGUUCUCAGAAAAUCCUUGCUAUGGUGCAUUCUGUCAACACAUGUCGCACCGAUACCUCCUCUGAACCACAUGUUUCACAAUGAGCAGUAGGUUCCAAGUGUCUCCGAUGGAGCUCCUGCUUUGCCGGUGAAAAAUCAUGCAUAACACGCCACCAAAACACCCUGACUUUGGGAUUUCCAUAUCAGCUUCCAUGGCCCCUCCAUCGAUGAACCCGGAUUAUCAUAGCCUCCUACCGCUUGGUUUUGCACAUCUUCUUGCAGUUGAUAUGCCGAUCUGACAGAAUAAAUACCAUGCUUCUCUUUCUCCCAUGCCCAAAUGUCCUCUCCUCUAGACACCAUUGGCAGCUUGAGGAUUGCAACAACAUCAACAGGGAAAAAGAUAUCUCUGACAAGCCCCUCAUUCCACGCUCCACUCUCAGUGGUGACAUCAGAAACUGUCACGACGAUCUGUGAUGGACAGAGGAGGAGAUGUGAUGUAGACAGUGGCAAUUUUGCAUUGUGAUGGGCCGUGGGCCCCAGGGGGUCAGCUGAUGGCCAACAAAGCACACGCCAGGGUCAUGAUCAUGGCCAGGGUACCUGCUAGCCAAAAUGUGUGGUGGUUUUAGCAGCUUAAGCACUCUUUGGUUUGGGGCUAGCUAAUUUUGUCACUCACACCCAAUUCAUGUGGAGGCCCUUGCCCCACCUAUCCACAUUAGUGUUGAAAAAGAUGGGAGAUUAAGCUGAUGCUGUUCUUUGUAAUUGGUUGCUUCCUCUUGUGGGGUUGCUUCCACUCGCCAGGAUUUUCUGGGGCCUAGAUGACAUCCUCCCUACCCCUGUAGUCAAGCUAGCUCCCAACCUGUGUGGCAUGCGGUGCUUCGUCCUAAAAGCAAAGCAAUAGAAACACGACAGGUAACAAUCAGUAUAAUGAGCAAUUGAGGAUUGGGGAUCGUUUUAUAAUUUUGCCUCAUAAACAUGUUUAAUCCUAGGCUGUUAUCAUGUCGGAAAUCUGUCUAAAACAUAUGGUUUAAGUGAACCACCGAAACCAUACAAGUCAUGUCAAUCCAAAAAUCGUAGAAAGGCUUUUUUGCUUUUCAUAUGGUCCAUGAUAGGAGUAUUUGCAACUGGAUGCAUGCGUACUUUCAACCUUUCAACAAAGUGGCGUUUGUUCAAAUUUCAAAAAGACAAAGCAUGACCACGUUGCAAAUCGUAUAAGCAAGUUAAUUUCAGUCAGAAUCUGAACGACAACGACUCCUCUUUUCAUAUUCGAGGGUUCAAUUCAGAUCGUGCUCAUUGCUUGCACGAACACACUUGUUCUACGCUGCCGAUAUAGACUCAUCUCGUGUCGCUUCAACGGGUAGUGACAAAACUGACAAUGUAAAUGUUGUCGAUCUCGUGGCUGUCAGUUUCAGUAUAAUGUCAAAAAUUGGAGCCCCUGAUCGUGCGACGGAUGUGCUACAAUAUGAGACAAUCGGACAAACACAAGGACUUCACUUUUUGGUCGUUUGAUUAAGUAUAGUUUAUACAAUUUUAGUGAUGGAUUAGUCCUUGGUUAAUGGUUCCCACGAUCGCAGUCAACAAUUUGGAAAGACCGAGACAAUCGGAUGGACUGGAACCACAAACAGACCACCCGACAGGAGGGUUGUUCCUCAACCACCUUCUUGCUGAAGCAGCUGAACCUCAUUUUCUCAUGCCAUUUUGCCAAGUCCCAAGUUUUUAUUUUUAUUUUUUUGGAUACUCUGAAAUUGUGUUAGACUUCGUAUUGUAGCCCUACUGUGUAAACCAUACCUUAUUGGUAUUGGACUUGUAUGUCAUCAUUAUAUAUAUAUAUGUGUGUGUGUGUGUGUGUGUGUGUGUGUGUGUGAUAGGCCACCCCUUUGAGGGUUGAACCAGUUCCCCCAAAACCUACGUUUUACAUGGUAUCGAGUCUAACCUAGGUCCUCCACCCUACCCGCCGCCGCCGACGACGCCAUGACCGCUUCCGCUUCGGGUGCCGCCAUCUCCGGGUCCAUCCCCGCGUCGCUUGCCGCCCUCCUCAACCUCCCACCUCGCCUCUUGGCUCCAUCGGUGCCCCAAUUCUUCGGCACCACCGCUGUGGGCUCCAUGUUCUCAGCUCCAAUCCAGCCGCCGUCGCCUGCAACCUCCGCCGCCACGACGGUGAUCCUCCCCGCGGCGCCACCCGCGGCCUCUUCCUCAUCACUUGCCGUCCUCCCGGCGGCCUCGGGGGAGGUUCCGCCCGCGGUGCCACCCGCGGCCACGCUCGCGACCCUGCCUGCGGCCGCGAUCCCUGAAGGAAAUAUGCCCUAGAGGCAAUAAUAAAGUUAUUAUUUAUUUCCUCAUAUCAUGAUAAAUGUUUAUUAUUCAUGCUAGCAUUGUAUUAACCGGAAACAUAAUACAUGUGUGAAUACAUAGACAAACUUAAUGUCACUAGUAUGCCUCUACCUGACUAGCUCAUUAAUCAAUGAUGGUUAUGUUUCCUAACCAUAGACAUGUGUUGUCAUUUGAUUAACGGGAUCACAUCAUUAGGAGAAUGAUGUGAUUGACAUGACCCAUUUCGUUAGCUUAGCACUUGAUCGUUUAGUAUGUUGCUAUUGCUUUCUUCAUGACUUAUACAUGUUCCUACAACUAUGAGAUUAUGCAACUCCCGUUUACCGGAGGAACACUUUGUGUGCUACCAAACGUCACAAUGUAACUGGGUGAUUAUAAAGGAGCUCUACAGGUGUCUCCAAUGGUACAUGUGGGUUGGCGUAUUUCGAGAUUAGGAUUUGUCACUCUGAUUGUCGGAGAGGUAUCUCUGGGCCCUCUCGGUAAUGCACAUCACUAUAAGCCUUGCAAGCAAUGUAGCUAAUGAGUUAGUUACGGAAUGACGCAUUACGUAACGAGUAAAGAGACUUGCCGGUAACGAGAUUGAACUAGGUAUUGAGAUACCGAUGAUCGAAUCUCGGGCAAGUAACAUACCGGUGACAAAGGGAACAACGUAUGUUGUUAUGCGGUUUGACCGAUAAAGAUCUUCGUAGAAUAUGUAGGAGCCAAUAUGAGCAUCUAGGUUCCGCUAUUGGUUAUUGACCGGAAACAGUUCUAGGUCAUGUCUACAUAGUUCUCGAACCCGUAGGGUCCGCACGCUUAACGUUUCGUUGACGAUAUAGUAUUAUAUGAGUUAUGUAUGUUGGUAACCGAAUGUCGUUCGGAGUCCCGGAUGAGAUCAUGGACAUGACGAGGAACUCCGGAAUGGUCCGGAGAUAAAGUUUGAUAUAUGGGAUAAUAGUGUUUGAUCUCCGGAAGGGUUCCAGAAUUCACCGGAAGGGGUUCUGGAUGUUUCCCGAAAUGUUUGGGUACGAGAACACGUUAUUUGGGCCAAAGGGGAAAGCCCACAAGGUUUUUGGAAAGCGCAAAAGGAAGUUUUGCGGAGUCCAGGGGCCAGACGCCAGGGUCCCUGGUGUCUAGGUCCAGACGCCGAGAACCUUGGCGUCUGGCCCUGGAGUCCGAGAAGGACUCUUGCCUUUCGGGUGAAACCGACUUUGUGGAGGCUUUUACUCCAAGUUUCAACCCCAAGGCUCAACAUAUAAAUAGAGGGGCAGGGCUAGCACCAAAGACACAUCAAGAAACACCAAGCCGUGUGCCGGCAACCCCGUCCCCUCUAGUUUAUCCUCCGUCAUAGUUUCCGUAGUGCUUAGGCAAAGCCCUGCGGAGAUUGUUCUUCACCAACACCGUCACCACGCCGUCGUGCUGCCGGAACUCAUCUACUACUUCGCCCGUCUUGCUAGAUCGAGAAGGCGAGGACGUCAUCGAGAUGAACGUGUGCAGAACUCGGAGGUGCCGUGCAUUCGGUACUUGGAUCGGUUGGAUCGUGAAGACGUACGACUACAUCAACCGCGUUGAUAAACGCUUCCGCUUAGCGAUCUUCAAGGGUAUGAAGAUACACUCCCCCUCUCGUUGCUAUGCAUCACCAUGAUCUUGUGUGUGUAGGAUUUUUUUUGAAAUUACUACGUUCCCCAACAGUGGUAUCAGAGCCUAGGUUUUAUGCGUUGAUGUUAUAUGCACGAGUAGAACACAAGUGAGUUGUGGACGAUACAAGUCAUACUGCUUACCAGCAUGUCAUACUUUGGUUCAGUGGUAUUGUUGGAUGAAGCGGCCCGGACCGACAUUACACGUACGCUUACGCGAGACUGGUUUUACCGUCGUGCUUUGCACACAGGUGACUAGCGGGUGUCUGUUUCUCCAACUUUAGUUGAACCGAGUGUGGCUACGCCCGGUCCUUGCGAAGGUUAAAACAACACUAACUUGACGAAAUAUCGUUGUGGUUUUGAUGCGUAGGUAAGAACGGUUCUUGCUCAGCCCGUAGCAGCCAUGUAAAAUUUGUAACAACAAAGUAGAGGACGUCUAACUUGUUUUUGCAGGGCAUGUUGUGAUGUGAUAUGGUCAAGACGUGAUGCUAUAUUUUAUUGUAUGAGAUGAUCAUGUUUUGUAACCGAAGUUAUCGGCAACUGGCUGGAGCCAUAUGGUUGUCGCUUUAUUGUAUCAAAUGCAAAUGCCCUGUAAUUGCUUUACUUUCACUAAGCGGUAGCGAUAGUCGUAGAAGCAAUAGAUGGCGUAAACGACAACGAUGCUACGAUGGAGAUCAAGGUGUCGCGCCGGUGACGAUGGUGAUCACGACGGUGCUUCGGAGAUGGAGAUCACAAGCACAAGAUGAUGAUGGCCAUAUCAUAUCACUUAUAUUGAUUGCAUGUGAUGUUUAUCCUUUAUGCAUCUUAUCUUGCUUUGAUUGACGGUAGCAUUUUAAGAUGAUCUCUCACUAAAAUUAUCAAGAAGUGUUCUCCUUGAAUAUGCACCGUUGCCAAAGUUCAUCGUGCCCAGACACCACGUGAUGAUCAGGUGUGAUAAGCUCUACGUCCAUCUACAACGGGUGCAACCCAGUUUUGCACAUGCAGAAUAUUCAAGUUAUACUUGACGAGCCUAGCAUAUACAGAUAUGGCCUCGGAACACGGAGACCGAAAGGUCGAACGUGAAUCAUAUAGUAGAUAUGAUCAACAUAGAGAUGUUCACCAUUGAAACUACUCCAUCUCAUGUGAUGAUCGAACAUGGUUUAGUUGAUUUGGAUCACGUGAUCACUUAGAUGACUAGAGAGAUGUCUGUCUAAGUGGGAGUUCUUAAGUAAUAUGAUUAAUUGAACUUAAAUUUAUCAUGAACUUAGUACCUGAUAGUAUUUUGCUUGUCUAUGUUUGUUGUAGAUAGAUGGCUCGUGCUGUUGUUCCGUUGAAUUUUAAUGCGUUCCUUGAGAAAGCUAAGUUGAAAGAUGAUUACACGGACUGGGUCCGUAACCUGAGGAUUAUCCUCAUUGCUGCACAGAAGAAUUAUAUCCUGGAAGCACCGCUGGGUGCCAGGCCUGCUGCUGAUGCAACUGACGAUGUUAAGAACGUAUGGCAGAGCAAAGCUGAUGACUACUUGAUAGUUCAAUGUGCCAUGCUUUACGGCUUGGAACCGGGUCUUCAAUGACAUUUUGAAUGUCAUGGAGCUUAUGAGAUGUUCCAGGAGUUGAAGUUAAUAUUUCAAGCAAAUGCCCAGAUUGAGAGAUAUGAAGUCUACAUAGUUCUCGAACCCGUAGGGUCUGCACGCUUAAUGUUUCGUUGACGAUAUAGUAUUAUAUGAGUUAUGUAUGUUGGUAACCGAAUGUUGUUCGGAGUCCCGGAUGAGAUCAUGGACAUGACGAGGAACUCCGGAAUGGUUCGGAGAUAAAGUUUGAUAUAUAGGAUAAUAGUGUUUGAUCUCUGGAAGGGUUCCGGAAUUCACCGGAAGGGGUUCCGGAUGUUUCCCGAAAUGUUUGGGUACGAGAACACGUUAUUUGGGCCAAAGGAGCCAACAAGGUUUUUGAAAAGCACAAAAGGAAGUUUUGCGGAGUCUAGGGGCCAGACGCCAGGGUCCCUGGCGUCUGGUGAAGGAAAUAUGCCCUAGAGGCAAUAAUAAAGUUAUUAUUUAUUUCCUCAUAUCAUGAUAAAUGUUUAUUAUUCAUGCUAGAAUUGUAUUAACCGGAAACAUGAUACAUGUGUGAGUACAUAGACAAACAUAGUGUCACUAGUAUGCCUCUACUUGACUAGCUCAUUAAUCAAAGAUGGUUAUGUUUCCUAAUCAUAGACAUGUGUUGUCAUUUGAUUAAUGGGAUCACAUCAUUAGGAGAAUGUUGUGAUUGACUGACCCAUUCCGUUAGCUUAGCACUUGAUCGUUUAGUAUGUUGCUAUUGCUUUCUUCAUGACUUAUACAAAGUUCCUACAACUAUGAGAUUGUGCAACUCCCGUUUACCGGAGGAACACUUUGUGUGCUACCAAACAUCACAACGUAAUUGGGUGAUUAUAAAGGUGCUCUACAGGUGUCUCCAAAGGUACAUGUUGAGUUGGCAUAAUUCGAGAUUAGGUUUUGUCACUCCGAUUGUCAGAGAGGUAUCUCUGGGCCAUCUCGGUAAUACUCAUCACUUAAGCCUUGCAAGCAUUGUAACUAAUGAGUUAGUUAUGAAAUGAUGUAUUACGGAACGAGUAAAGAGACUUGCCGGUAACGAGAUUGAACUAGGUAUUGGAUAUCGACGAUCGAAUCUCGGACAAGUAACAUACCGAUGACAAAGGGAACAACGUAUGUUGUUAUGCGGUUUGACCGAUAAAGAUCUUCGUAGAAUAUGUAGGAACCAAUAUGAACAUCCAGGUUCCACUAUUGGUUAUUGACCGAGAAUAGUUCUAGGUCAUGUCUACAUAGUUCUCGAACCCGUAGGGUCCGCACGCUUAACGUUACGAUGGCCGUUUUAUUACGAGUUUAUAAGUUUUGAUGUACCGAAGUUUGUUCGGAGUCCCGGAUGUGAUCACAGACAUGACGAGGAGUCUCGAAAUGGUCGAGACAUAAAGAUUGAUAUAUUGGACGACUAUAUUCGGACACCGGAAGUGUUCCGGGUGAUUUCGGAGAAAACCGGAGUGCCGGAGGGUUACCGGAACCCCCCCGGGAGAGUUAAUGGGCCACAUGGGCCUUGGUGGAAAGAGAGAGGGGUGGCCAGGAUGGGCCGCGCACCCCCUCUCCCUCUGGUCCGAAUUGGACUAGGAGGGGGGCGGCGCCCCCCUCUUUCCUUCCCCCCUCUCCCCCUUCCUUCCCCCUCCUAGUAGGAGUAGGAAAGGGGGAGUCCUACUCCUACUAGGAGGAGGACUCCUCCUCCUUGGCGCGCCCCAAGGGGCCGGCCGGCCUCCCCCCUUGCUCCUUUAUAUACGGGGGCAGGGGGCACCCUAGGACACACAAGUUGAUCUACGGAUCGUUCCUUAGCCGUGUGCGGUGCCCCCCUCCACCAUAUUCCACCUCGGUCAUAUCGUCCCGGAGUUUAGGCGAAGCCCUGCGCCGGUAGAACAUCAUCAUCGUCACCACGCCGUCGUGCUGACGGAACUCAUCCCCGACGCUUUGCUGGAUUGGAGCCCGGGGAACGUCAUCGAGCUGAACGUGUGCUGAACACGGAGGUGCCGUACGUUCGGUGCUUGGAUCUGUCGAGUCGUGAAGACGUACGACUACAUCAACCGCGUUGUCAUAACGCUUCCGCUUACGGUCUACGAGGGUACGUGGACAAUACUCUCCUCUCUCGUUGCUAUGCCAUCACCAUGAUCUUGCAUGUGCAUAGGAAUUUUUUUGAAAUUACUACGUUACCCAACAGUGGCAUCCGAGCCUAGGUUUUAUGCGUUGAUGUUAUAUGCACGAGUAGAACACAAAUGAGUUGUGGGUGAUACAAGUCAUACUGCUUACCAGCAUGUCAUACUUUGGUUAGGCAGUAUUGUUGGAUGAAGCGGCCCGGACCAACAUUACGCGUACGCUUACGCGAGACUGGUUCUACCGACGUGCUUUGCACACAGGUGGCUGGCGGGUGUCAGUUUCUCCAACUUUAGUUGAACCGAGUGUGGCUACGCCCGGUCCUUGUGAAGGUUAAAACAACACUAACUUGACGAACUAUCGCUGUGGUUUUGAUGCGUAGGUAAGAACGGUUCUUGCUAAGUCCGUAGCAGCCACGUAAAACUUGCAACAACAAAGUAGAGGACGUCUAACUUGUUUUUGCAGGGCAUGUUGUGAUGUGAUAUGGUCAAAGACGUGAUGCUAUAUUUAUUGUAUGAGAUGAUCAUGUUUUAUAACCGAAGUUAUCGGCAACUGGCAGGAGCCAUAUGGUUGUCGCUUUAUUGUAUGAAAUGCAAACGCCCUGUAAUUGCUUUACUUUAUCACUAAGCGGUAGUGAUAGUCGUAGAAGCAAUAGAUGGCGUAAACGACAACGAUGCUACGAUGGAGAUCAAGGUGUCGCACCGGUGACGAUGGUGAUCACGACGGUGCUUCGGAGAUGGAGAUCACAAGCACAAGAUGAUGAUGGCCAUAUCAUAUCACUUAUAUUGAUUGCAUGUGAUGUUUAUCCUUUAUGCAUCUUAUCUUGCUUUGAUUGACGGUAGCAUUUUAAGAUGAUCUCUCACUAAAAUUAUCAAGAAGUGUUCUCCUUGAAUAUGCACCGUUGCCAAAGUUCAUCGUGCCCAGACACCACGUGAUGAUCAGGUGUGAUAAGCUCUACGUCCAUCUACAACGGGUGCAACCCAGUUUUGCACAUGCAGAAUAUUCAAGUUAUACUUGACGAGCCUAGCAUAUACAGAUAUGGCCUCGGAACACAGAGACCGAAAGGUCGAACAUGAAUCAUAUAGUAGAUAUGAUCAACAUAGUGAUGUUCACCAUUGAAAACUACUCCAUCUCACGUGAUGAUCGGUUAUGGUUUAGUUGAUUUGGAUCACGUAAUCACUUAGAUGACUAGAGAGAUAUCUGUCUAAGUGGGAGUUCUUAAGUAAUAUGAUUAAUUGAACUUAAAUUUAUCAUGAACUUAGUACCUGAUAGUAUUUUGCUUGUCUAUGUUUGUUUGUAGAUAGAUGGCUCGUGUUGUUGUUCCGUUGAAUUUUAAUGCGUUCCUUGAGAAAGCAAAGUUGAAAGAAGAUGGUAGCAAUUACACGGACUGGGUCCGUAACUUGAGGAUUAUCCUCAUUGCUGCAUAGAAGAAUUACGUCCUGGAAGCACCACUGGGUGCCAGGCCUGCUGCAGGAGCAACACCAGAUGUUGUGAACGUCUGGCAGAGCAAAGCUGAUGACUACUCUAUAGUUCAGUGUGCCAUGCUUUACGGCUUAGAACCGGGUCUUCAACGACGUUUUGAACGUCAUGGAGCAUAUGAGAUGUUCCAGAAGUUGAAGUUAAUAUUUCAAGCAAAUGCCCAGAUUGAGAGAUAUGAAGUCUCCAAUAAGUUCUACAGCUGCAAGAUGGAGGAGAAUAGUUCUGUUAGUGAGCAUAUAGUCAAAAUGUCUGGGUAUAAUAAUCACUUGAUUCAACUGGGAGUUAAUCUUCCGGAUGAUAGCGUCAUUGACAGAAUUCUCCAAUCACUGCCACCAAGCUACAAGAGCUUCAUGAUGAACUAUAAUAUGCAAGGGAUGAACAAGACAAUUCCCGAGCUCUUCGCAAUGCUAAAGGCUGCGGAGGUAGAAAUCAAGAAGGAGCAUCAAGUGUUGAUGGUCAACAAGACCACUAGUUUCAAGAAAAAGGGCAAAGGGAAGAAGAAGGGGAACUUCAAGAAGAACAGCAAGCAAGUUGCUGCUCAAGAGAAGAAACCCAAGUCUGGACCUAAGCCUGAAACUGAGUGCUUCUACUGCAAGCAAACUGGUAACUGGAAGCGGAACUGCCCCAAGUAUUUGGCGGAUAAGAAGGAUGGCAAAGUGAACAAAGGUAUAUGUGAUAUACAUGUUAUUGAUGUGUACCUAACUAGAGCUCGUAGUAGCACCUGGGUAUUUGAUACUGGUUCUGUUGCUAAUAUUUGCAACUCGAAACAGGGACUACGGAAUAAGCGAGCACUGGCCAAGGACGAGGUGACGAUGCGCGUGGGAAACGGUUCCGAAGUCGAUGUGAUCGCGGUCGGCACGCGACCUCUACAUCUACCUUCGGGAUUAGUCUUAGACAUAAAUAAUUGUUAUUUGGUGCCAGCGUUGAGCAUGAACAUUAUAUCUGGAUCUUGUUUGAUGCGAGACGGUUCUUCAUUUAAAUCAGAGAAUAAUGGUUGUUCUAUUUAUAUGAGUAAUAUCUUUUAUGGUCAUGCACCCUUGAAGAGUGGUCUAUUUUUAUUAAAUCUCGAUAGUAGUGAUACACAUAUUCAUAAUGUCCAAACCAAAAGAUGCAGAGUUGAUAAUGAUAGUGCAACUUAUUUGUGGCACUGCCGUUUAGGUCAUAUCGGUGUAAAGCGCAUGAAGAAACUCCAUACUGAUGGACUUUUGGAAUCACUUGAUUAUGAAUCACUUGGUACUUGCGAACCGUGCCUCAUGGGCAAGAUGACUAAAACACCGUUCUCCGGUACUAUGGAGAGAGCAACAAAUUUGUUGGAAAUCAUACAUACAGAUGUAUGUGGACCGAUGAAUAUUGAAGCUCGUGGCGGAUAUCGUUAUUUUCUCACCUUCAUAGAUGAUUUGAGCAUAUAUGGGUAUAUCUACUUAAUGAAACACAAGUCUGAAACAUUUGAAAAGUUCAAAGAAUUUCAGAGUGAAGUGGAAAAUCAUUGUAACAAGAAAAUUAAGUUUCUACGAUCUGAUCGUGGAGGAGAAUAUUUGAGUUACGAGUUUGGUUUACAUGUGAAACAAUGCGGAAUAGUUUCGCAACUCACGCCACCCGGAACACCACAACGUAAUGGUGUGUCUGAACGUCGUAAUCGUACUUUACUAGAUAUGGUGCAAUCUAUGAUGUCUCUUACUGAUUUACCGCUAUCGUUUUGGGGUUAUGCUUUAGAGACGGCUGCAUUCACAUUGAAUGGGGCACCAUCAAAAUCCGUUGAGAUGACGCCUUAUGAACUAUGGUUUGGCAAGAAACCAAAGUUGUCGUUUCUUACAGUUUGGGGCUGCGAUGCUUAUGUGAAGAAACUUCAACCAGAUAAGCUCGAACCCAAAUCGGAGAAAUGUGUCUUCAUAGGAUACCCAAAAGAGACUGUUGGGUACACCUUCUAUCACAGAUCCGAAGGCAAGACAUUCGUUGCUAAGAAUGGAUCCUUUCUAGAAAAAGAGUUUCUCUCGAAAGAAGUGAGUGGGAGGAAAGUAGAACUUGAUGAGAUAACUAUGUCUGCUCCCUCAUUGGAAAGUAGUUCAUCACAGAAAUCAGUUCCUGUGACAUCUACACCAAUUAGUGAGGAAGAUAAUGAUAUUGAUCAUGAAACUUCAGAUCAAGUUUCUACCGAACCUCGUAGGUCUACCAGAAUAAAAUCUGCACCAGAGUGGUACGGUAAUCCUAUUCUGGAAGUCAUGUUACUUGACCAUGAUGAACCUACGAACUAUGAGGAAGCGAUGAUGAGCCCAGAUUCCGCAAAAUGGCUAGAAGCCAUGAAAUCUGAGAUGGGAUCCAUGUAUGAAAACAAAGUAUGGACUUUGGUUGACUUGCCCGAUGAUCGACAAGCCAUUGAGAAUAAAUGGAUCUUUAAGAAGAAGACUGACGCUGACGGUAAUGUAACUGUCUAUAAAACUCGACUUGUUGUGAAAGGUUUUCGACAAGUUCAAGGGGUUGACUACGAUGAGACUUUCUCACCCGUAGUGAUGCUUAAGUCUGUCCGAAUCAUGUUAGCGAUUGCCGCAUUUUAUGAUUAUGAAAUUUGGCAGAUGGAUGUAAAAACCGCAUUUCUGAAUGGAUUUCUGGAAGAAGAGUUGUAUAUGAUGCAACCGGAAGGUUUUGUCGAUCCUAAGGGAGCUAACAAAGUGUGCAAGCUCCAGCGAUCAAUCUAUGGUCUGGUGCAAGCCUCUCGGAGUUGGAAUAAACGCUUUGAUAGUGUGAUCAAGGCAUAUGGUUUUAUACAGACUUUUGGAGAAGCCUGUAUUGACAAGAAAGUGAGUGGGAGCUCUGUAGCAUUUCUAAUAUUAUAUGUGGAUGACAUAUUGUUGAUUGGGAAUGAUAUAGAAUUUCUGAAUGGCAUAAAAGGAUACUUGAAUAAAAGUUUUUCAAUGAAAGACCUCGGUGAAGCUGCUUACAUAUUGGGCAUUAAGAUCUAUAGAGAUAUAUCAAGACGCUUGAUUGGACUUUCACAAUGCACGUACCUUGAUAAAGUGUUGAAAAAGUUCAAUAUGGAUCAGGCGAAGAAAGGGUUCUUGCCUGUAUUACAAGGUAUAAAGUUGAGUCAGACUCAAUGCCCGACCACUGCAGAAGAUAGAGAGAAAAUGAAAGGAAUUCCCUAUGCUUCAGCCAUAGGCUCUAUCAUGUAUGCAAUGUUGUGUACCAGACCUGAUGUGUGCCUUGCUAUUAGUUUGGCAGGGAGGUACCAAAGUAAUCCAGGAGUGGGUCACUGGACGGCGGUCAAGAACAUCCUGAGAUACCUGAAAAGGACUAAGGAUAUGUUUCUCGUAUAUGGAGGUGACAAAGAGCUAGUCGUAAAUGGUUACGUCGAUGCAAGCUUUAACACUGAUCCGGACGAUUCUAAAUCGCAAACCGGAUACGUAUUUUUGUUAAAUGGUGGAGCUGUAAGUUGGUGCAGUUCUAAACAAAGCGUUGUGGCGGGAUCUACAUGUGAAGCGGAGUACAUAGCUGCUUCGGAAGCAGCAAAUGAAGGAGUCUGCAUGAAGGAGUUCAUUUCCGAUCUAGGUGUUAUACCUAGUGCAUCGGGACCAAUGAAGAUCUUCUGUGACAAUACUGGUGCAAUUGCCUUGGCAAAGGAAUCCAGAUUUCACAAGAGGACCAAGCACAUCAAGAGACGCUUCAAUUCCAUUCGGGACCAAGUCCAAGUGGGAGACAUAGAGAUUUGCAAAAUACAUACGGAUCUGAAUAUUGCAGACCCGUUGACUAAGCCUCUCUCACGAGCAAAACAUGAUCAGCACCAAGACUCCAUGGGUGUUAGAAUCAUUACUAUGUAAUCUAGAUUAUUAACUCUAGUGCAAGUGGGAGACUGAAGGAAAUAUUCCCUAGAGGCAAUAAUAAAGUUAUUAUUUAUUUCCUCAUAUCAUCAUAAAUGUUUAUUAUUCAUGCUAGAAUUGUAUUAACCAGAAAAAUGAUACAUGUGUGAAUACAUAGACAAACAUAGUGUCACUAGUAUCCCUCUACUUGACUAGCUCAUUAAUCAAAGAUGGUUAUGUUUCCUAAUCAUAGACAUGUGUUGUCAUUUGAUUAAUGGGAUCACAUCAUUAGGAUAAUGUUGUGAUUGACUUGACCCAUUCCGUUAGCUUAGCACUUGAUCGUUUAGUAUGUUGCUAUUGCUUUCUUCAUGACUUAUACAAAGUUCCUACAACUAUGAGAUUGUGCAACUCCCGUUUACCGGAGGAACACUUUGUGUGCUACCAAACGUCACAACAUAAUUGGGUGAUUAUAAAGGUGCUCUACAGGUGUCUCCAAAGGUACAUGUUGAGUUGGCAUAAUUCGAGAUUAGGUUUUGUCACUCCGAUUGUCGGAGAGGUAUCUCUAGGCCAUCUCGGUAAUACUCAUCACUUAAGCCUUGCAAGCAUUGUAACUAAUGAGUUAGUUAUGAAAUGAUGUAUUACGGAACGAGUAAAGAGACUUGCCGGUAACAAGAUUGAACUAGGUAUUGGAUAUCGACGAUCGAAUCUCGGACAAGUAACAUACCAAUGACAAAGGGAACAACAUAUGUUGUUAUGCGGUUUGACCGAUAAAGAUCUUCGUAGAAUAUGUAGGAACCAAUAUGAACAUCCAGGUUCCACUAUUGGUUAUUGACCGAGAAUAGUUCUAGGUCAUGUCUACAUAGUUCUCGAACCCGUAGGGUCCGCACGCUUAACGUUACGAUGACAGUUUUAUUAUGAGUUUAUAAGUUUUGAUGUACCGAAGUUUGUUCGGAGUCCCGGAUGUGAUCACGGACAUGACGAGGAGUCUCGAAAUGGUCGAGACAUAAAGAUUGAUAUAUUGGACAACUAUAUUCGGAAACCGGAAGUGUUCUGGGUGAUUUCGGAGAAAACUGGAGUGCCGGAGGGUUACCGGAACCCCUGCCGAGAGAGUUAAUGGGCCACAUGGGCCUUGGUGGGAAGAGAGAGGGGCGGACAGGAUGGGCCGCGCGCCCCCUCUCCCUCUGGUCCGAUUUGGACUAGGAGGGGGGCGGCGCCCCCCUCUUUCCUUCCCCCCUCUCCCCCUUCCUUCCCCCUCCUAGUAGGAGUAGGAAAGGGGGAGUCCUACUCCUACUAGGAGGAGGACUCCUCCUCCUUGGCGCGCCCCAAGGGGCCGGCCGGCCUCCCCCUUGCUCCUUUAUAUACGGGGGCAGGGGGGCACCCUAGGACACACAAGUUGAUCUACAGAUCGUUCCUUAGCCGUGUGCGGUGCCCCCCUCCACCAUAUUCCACCUCGGUCAUAUCGUCGCGGAGUUUAGGCGAAGCCCUGCGCCGGUAGAACAUCAUCAUCGUCACCACGCCGUCGUGCUGACGGAACUCAUCCCCGACGCUUUGCUGGAUUGGAGCCCGGGGAACGUCAUCGAGCUGAACGUGUGCUGAACACGGAGGUGCCGUAUGUUCGGUGCUUGGAUCGGUCGAGUCGUGAAGACGUACGACUACAUCAACCGCGUUGUCAUAACGCUUCCGCUUACGGUCUACGAGGGUACCUGGACAAUACUCUCCUCUCUCGUUGCUAUGCCAUCACCAUGAUCUUGCAUGUGCGUAGGAAAUUUUUUGAAAUUACUACGUUACCCAACAUCUGGGUCCAGACCCCGGGAACCCUGGCGUCUGGCCCUAGAGUCCGAGAAGGACUCUUGCCUUUCGGGUGAAACCGACUUUGUGGAGGCUUUUACUCCAAGUUUCGACCCCAAGGCUCAACAUAUAAAUAGAGGGGCAGGGCUAGCACCAAACACACAUCAAGAAACACCAAGCCGUGUGCCGGCAACCCCGUCCCCUCUAGUUUAUCCUCCGUCAUAGUUUCCAUAGUGCUUAGGCGAAGUCCUGCGGAGAUUGUUCUUCACCAACACUGUCACCACGCCGUCGUGCUGCCGGAACUCAUCUACUACUUCGCCCGUCUUGCUGGAUCGAGAAGGCGAGGACGUCAUCGAGUUGAACGUGUGCAGAACUCGGAGGUGCCGUGCGUUCGGUACUUGGAUCGGUUGGAUCGUGAAGACGUACGACUACAUCAAACGCGUUGAUAAACGCUUCCGCUUAGCGAUCUUCAAGGGUAUGAAGAUACACUCCCCCUCUCGUUGCUAUGCAUCACCAUGAUCUUGCGUGUGCGUAGGAAUUUUUUUGAAAUUACUACGUUCCCCAACAAUCCCGCCCCUGCCCGCGGCAUUGGUCGCGGCUGUGGAUCCUAUCGCGGCUCCGCCGCCAACCGUCCCUGCUACUGGCGCAAUCACGCCCACCGGGCCGUUCCACUUUGACAACUUGAUCGCCAUCCGACUCACGCCGGACAACUACUUGUUCUGGCGCGCCAAGGUCUUACCGCUGCUACGCAGCCGGUCUCUCCUAGGGUUUGUUGAUGGUUCACUACCGUGUCCUCCGCAGGUCAUCCCUACCGUCCACGGCCCGGCCAUCAACCCGGAACACCGUAUGUGGGUGCAGCAGGACCAGGCGAUCCUCUCUACCAACCAGGGUUCCCUUGGCGACGGGGUCGCUGGCCUUUGUCUCUUCGCCGCCACCUCCAUGGACGCUUGGACGACCCUGGAGCACGCCUUUGCCCAGGUCUCUACCUCCCGCUCGAUGGCCCUUCAUAGUGAGCUCGCCGACAUCAAGAAGCUGGACACUUCUGCCACGACCUACUACAACAAGAUGAAGGUGCUGCCGGACACGCUCACCUCUAGUGGUCGUCCGCUUAGCGACGAGGAGUUCGCCGGCUCCGUCAUCAAAGGCCUCGACGUUGACUAUGACAAUCUCGCCGAGGCCGUUCACAACACCAAGCCAGCGAUGCCUCCUCAUGCCUCCUCUUCAUCGAGCAACGCGUCGAGGCUCGUCGCUCCUUUGCCACCAUCACCGCCCAGCCGGCGGCCUUCUGGGCCUCUCGCGGCCAGCGCCCCCCUACCUCGUUACCUGGCAAGGCAGCCCCGCCCCCUGCAUCGACCCUGGGUGGGGGCCCUAACACUAGGGUGGUGUGCCAGCUAUGUGGUCGUGAACGCCAUGUCGCCUCCAAGUGUCACCGCCGCUUUCAGAGGAGCUUCCUUGGCAUCGGCAACGAUAGCAAGGGCAAUGAUAUGUAUCCAACGUAUCUAUAAUUUUUUAUUGUUUCAUGUUAUUAUAUUACCCGUUUUGGAUGUUUAUGGGCUUUACUUUACACAUUUAUAUCAUUUUUGGGACUAACCUACUAACCGGAGGCCCAGCCCGUAUUGCUUUUUUUGCCUAUUUCAGUAUUUCGAAGAAAAGGAAUAUCAAACGGAGUCCAAACGGAAUGAAACCUUCGGGAGCGUGAUUUUUGGAACGAACGUGAUCCAGAGGACUUGGAGUGCAAGUCAAGAAGCAGUCAAGGCGGCCACGAGGGUGGAGGGCGCGCCCACCCCUACUGGGCGCGCCCCCCUAUCUCGUGGGCCCCUCGGGCGUCCACCAACCUACUUCUUCCUCCUAUAUAUACCCACGUACCCCGAGAACAUCAAAGGAGACGACAAAAAACUAUUUCCACCACCAUAACCUUCUGCAUCCGCGAGAUCCCAUCUUGGAGCCUUCGCCGGCGCUCCGCCGGAGGGGGAAUCAAGCACGGAGGGCUUCUACAUCAACACCAUAGCCCCUCCGAUGAGUUGUGAGUAGUUUACCACAGACCUUCGGGUCCAUAGUUAUUAGCUAGAUGGCUUCUUCUCUCUUUUUGGAUCUCAAUACCAUGUUCUCCUCGAUCUUCUUGGAGAUCUAUUCGAUGUAACUCUUUUUGCGGUGUGUUUGUCGAGAUCCGAUGAAUUGUGAGUUUAUGAUCAAGUUUAUCUAUGAGAAAUAUUUGAAUCUCCUCUGAGUUCUUUUAUGUGUGAUUAAGUUAUCUUUGCAAGUCUCUUCGAAUUAUCAGUUUGGUUUAGCCUACUAGAUUGAUCUUUCUUGCAAUGGGAGAAGUGCUUAGCUUUGGGUUCAAUCUUGCGGUGUCCUUUCCCAGUGACAGCAGGGGCAGCAAGACACGUAUUGUAUUUUUUCCAUCGAGGAUAAAAAGAUGGGGUUUAUAUCAUAUUGCAUGAGUUUAUCCCUCUACACCAUGUCAUCUUUCUUAAUGCGUUACUCUGUUCUUUAUGAACUUAAUACUCUAGAUGCAUGCUGGAUAGCGGUCGAUGUGUGGAGUAAUAGUAGUAGAUGCAGGCAGGAGUCGGUCUACUUGUCACGAAUGUGAUGCCUAUAUACAUGAUCAUGCCUAGAUAAUCUCAUAAUUAUUCGCUUUUCUAUCAAUUGCUCGACAGUAAUUUGUUCACCCAUCGUAAUACUUAUGCUAUCUUGAGAGAAGCCACUAGUGAAACCUAUGCCCCACGGGUCUAUCUUUUAUCAUAUAAGCUUUCAAUCUACUUUUAUUUGCAUCUUUACUUUUCCUAUCUAUAUUAUAAAAUACCAAAAAUAUAUUUAUCUUAUCAUACUAUCUCUAUCAGAUCUCACUUUCGCAAGUGGUCGUGAAGGGAUUGACAACCCCUUUAUUGCGUUGGUUGCGAGUUCUUUGUUUGUUUGUGUAGGUGCGUGGGACUUUUGAGGAGCCUCCUACUGGAUUGAUACCUUGGUUCUCAAAAACUGAGGGAAAUACUUACGCUACUAUUGUUGCAUCACCCUUUCCUCUUCAAGGAAAACCAACGCAAGCUCAAGACGUAGCAAGAAGGAUUUCUGGCACCGUUGCCGGGGAGGUAUUCGCUCAAGUCAAGACAUACCAAGUACCCAUCACAAACUCAUCUCCCUCGUAUUUACAUUAUUUGCCAUUUGCCUCUCGUUUUCCUCUCCCCCACUUCACCCUUGCUGUUUUAUUCGCCCUCUCUUUCCCAAUCUCCUCUCUCUUUUGCUUUUCUUUUGUUUGCUCGUCGUUAUGGCUAGCUCGGUCUUUAUCCCUUCGUCUCCCGACUUUGAAGUUCUUCACUUCAAGCAAAGACAAGGGGAAAAUUUAAAAGAUGCUUCGUUUAGGAUGUUAGAAUCUUAUCGUAGUUGUGCUAUAGAAGGAGAUUUCAAGAUUUUAAUUCGCAAUUUUUAUGUUGGGUUAACCUUACCCCAUAAACAACUCCUUGAUUUUGCCGCACAAGGGGGUUUUAUUGAAGUUGAUCCUAGUUCCGCUUAUGAAAUUAUAGAGGGGAUAGUAGGAGUACUUCCCCUACAGAAAGGAUCACCCUUGUCUCAUGAAGGAACCCAAAUUCUAGAGAAAUUAUGUGAAUUGCAAAAAUUUGUUGAACCGCUUAAGAAUAUUGGUGGGAAUAUCAUCCGCAUGAAUAAUUUGAUCACACUCUGGAAUAAGCGGUUGGAUGCCUUAGAUCAAAGGAUCUCUGAGCAUGAAGGGAAACGCAAGGAGCCUCCCGGACCUGAGCAUAACUCCAUUAAAAAGAUAAGUGCCAAAGAUGACACUACUUAGAUCUAUCCUCGCUUUUAUGCCUAGCUAGGGGUCUUAAAUGAUAGCGCUAGUUGGGAUGCAACCCAAUUUUAUUUGUGUUUUUUUGUUUUUGUUCUUGUUUAGUAAUAUUUUUUGCAUCUACCUUCUGUUUAGAUGUGUUUUUAUGUUUCAAUUAGUGUUUGUGCCAAGUAGAACCUAUAGGAUAACCUAUGGUGAUAGUUAAUUUGAUUCUGCUGAAAAACAGAAACUUUGCACGCACGAAAUUAGUAUUGUUAAUUCACAUAAACAUGCUUUUGCGUUGAUUCUUUUUUAUGUAGAUCAAUAGACAAAUUUCCCAGGACUUCCUAUUUUGGUAGGAUUUUUAAAGUUCCAUAAGUAUUCAAGAGUUAUAGAUUGCUACAGACUGUUCUGUUUUUGACAGAUUCUGUUUUUCGUGUGUUGUUGCUACGUCUCGAGCUUGCGUUGGUUUUCCCCGAAGAGGAGAGGAUGAUGCAGCACAUUAACAUAAGUAUUUCCCUCAGUUUUUGAGAACCAAGGUGUCAAUCCAGUAGGAGGUCACGCGCAAGUCCCACGUACCUGCACAAAACGAUAGCAACUCGCAACCAACGCUUAGGGGUUGUCAAUCCCUUCAUGGUCACUUACGAGAGUGAGAUCUAAUAGAGAUAAUAUUUUUGGUAUUUUUGAUAGAUAGGUGCAAAGUAAAAAGUAAAGGCAAGGUAAAAACAAAGCAAGUAAAUAAAGUGAUAUAGAUUGAUAUGAUGAGAAUAGACCCGGGGGCCAUAGGUUUCACUAGUGGCUUCUCUCAAGAGCAUAAGUAUUCUACGGUGGGUGAACAAAUUACUGUUGAGCAAUUGACAGAAUUGAGCAUAGUUAUGAGGUUAUCUAGGUAUGAUCAUGUAUAUAGGCAUCACGUCCGAGACAAGUAGAUCGAAAUGAUUCUGCAUCUACUACUAUUACUCCACUCAUCGACCGCUAUCCAGCAUGCAUCUAGAGUAUUAAGUUAAAAACAAAGUAACGCCUUAAGCAAGAUGACAUGAUCUAGAGGGAUAAAUUCAUGCAAUAUGAUAAAAAACAUAUUGUUAUACUCGAUGGAAACAAUACAAUACGUUCCUUGCAACUCCUUCUGUCACUGAGUAAGGACACCGCAAGAUUGAACCCAAAGCCAUGCACUUCUCCCAUUGCAAGAACUACCAAUCUAGUUGGCCAAACCAAACGGAUAAUUCGAAGAGACUUGCAAAGAUAACUCAAUCAUACAUAAAAGAAUUCAGAGAAGAUUCAAAUAUUAUUCAUAGAUAAGCUGGAUCAUAAACCCACAAUUCAUCGGUCUCAACAAACACACCACAAAAAGAAGAUUACAUCAAAUAGAUCUCCACAAGAGAGGGGGAGAACAUUGUAUUGAGAUCCAAAAAGAGAGAAGAAGCCAUCUAGCUACUAGCUAUUGAACCGAAGGUCUGAAGUAAGCUACUCACACUUCAUCGGAGGGGCUAUGGUGUUGAUGUAGAAGCCCUCCAUGGUAGAUGCCCCCUCCGGCGGAGCUCCAGAACAGGCCCCAAGAUGGGAUCUCGUGGAUACAGAAGCUUGCAGUGGUGGAAUUAGGUUUUUGGCUCCUGUUCUGAUCGUUCGGGGAUACGUAGGUAUAUAUAGGAGGAAGGAGUACGUCGGUGGAGCUCCGAGGGGUCCACGAGGUAGGGGGGCGCGCCCAGGGGGGGCGCGCCCUCCACCCUCGUGACCUCCUCGGAAGCUUCUUGGAGUAGGGUCCAAGUCUCCUGGAUCACGUUCGGUUGGAAAAUCAUGAUCCCGAAGGUUUCAUUCCGUUUGGACUCCGUUUGAUAUUCUGUUUCUUCGAAAUACUGAAAAAGGCAAAAAACAGCAAUUCUGGGUUGGGCCUCCGGUUAAUAGGUUAGCCCCAAAAGUAAUAUAAAAGUGAAAAAUAAAGCCCAAUAUAGUCCAAAACAGUAGAUAAAGUAGCAUGGAGCAAUCAAAAAUUAUAGAUACGUUGGAGACGUAUCAGGCAUCCCCAAGCUUAAUUCCUACUCAUCCUCGAAUUAUUUACCUACUCGCCAGUAUUGUCGCCAGUAUUGUCGUUGAUAGCCCAACAUUUAAAGAGCGGUUGGGGAAAUCAGGCGAAUUCCAAAUGAAAUUUAACCUCCCUGACAUCAUCAAAAAAGUUGAGGGACUGGAGACACUUACUGUCCCCUUCACCAAGCAGGAGAUAGAUGUGAUCGUUAAUGAAAUGCCGACCGACCGAGCUCCAGGACCAGAUGGUUUCUCUGGUAUCUUUAUCAAAAAAUGCUGGCAUAUUAUUAAGAACGACUUCUAUGAUCUAUGCAACCAGUUCUAUGAGGGGACCCUAAAUCUUGAAAGCAUCAAUGAGGGGUUUAUUACACUCAUUCCUAAGAUUCGCUCCCCAGAGAAUGUCUCUGAUUUUAGACCAAUCACUUUGUUGAAUUGUUGUCUUAAGAUUCUCACAAAACUUCUUGCCAACAGACUGCAAAAGCUCAUUCUUAAAAUCGUUCAUCGAAACCAAUAUGGAUUCCUAAAAGGCCGAUCACUACAGGACUGUCUCGCCUGGGCGUUCGAAUAUAUCCACCAGUGUCAAGCCUCCAAGGAAAAGAUCAUCCUCCUAAAACUGGAUUUCGCAAAGGCCUUUGAUACGAUCGAACAUGAUGCUAUGCUUAUGAUUAUGCAGCAUAUGGGAUUUGAUGACAGAUGGCUCAAUUGGGUAAAAUGCAUUUUCUCCUCUGGCAAGUCAGCGGUGCUUCUAAAUGGGGUCCCGGGUCGUCAAUUCAACUGUAAAUGUGGUGUUCGACAGGGUGACCCAUUCUCUCCAUUGAUUUUUGUAUUGGCGGCUGACCUCUUACAGGCCGCAAUCAAUGACGCUUUCAGACAUGGCCGAAUCCAGCUACCGUUCCCCAGAGAGAACCAACAUGACUACCCUGUGAUACAAUACGCGGACGACACGCUCAUUCUUCUACCUGCAUGCCCGGUCCAAGCCCUCACAAUCAAAAACAUUUUCACUGACUACGCUGACUCCAUUGGGCUCAAGAUAAACUUCCACAAGUCCACACUGAUCCCAAUUAACUGUGAGGCUGCCUGCUACAAUGAGCUCUCCAAUAUCUUUGGAUGUAAUGUUGGUUCCAUGCCCUUCACUUACCUAGGGUUACCUCUCGGGACAACCAAGCCCUCAGUUCAAGAUUUAAUGCCGCUUGUUUGUACAAUGGAACAUCGGAUGUCAAGCACUCUGGCCUUGAUGUCGUAUGGAGCCAGGCUAUCUCUACUCAAUACCAUGCUCACUUCACUAGUCAUCUUUGCUUUGUGCACUCUCAGACUGCCACCAAAGAUAAUUGAACUGCUUGAUAAACUGCGAAGGAAGUGUCUAUGGACAAAGAAGACAGAACAUGGGGACAAAUGCAAUUCCCUUGCGGCCUGGAGUAUGGUGUGUAGACCAAAACAGUGUGGAGGCCUUGGUAUAAUCAACCUACGCGUACAAAGUGAUGCCCUCCUCAAAUAUCUGCAUAAAUUCUACAACAAGCACGAUGUACCUUGGGUGGAGCUUGUGUGGUCCACAUACUAUACAAACAAAAUCCCCCAUGCCAUGGAACCAUGCGGAUCAUUCUGGUGGAGAGAUGUUCUCAAGCUCACCCCGAUUUACAGAGGGAUUUCUAAAGCCAUUGUGCAUGAUGGAGCUACAGUGCUCAUGUGGAAAGACCUGUGGCUUGAUGCCACUCUCGAUGAAAAGUACCAGCGCGCCUUCUCCUUUGCAAAAAAUGAAGAUAUUUCGGUUAAGGAUUUCCUGGGAUCCACAUCUCUGCAUGAAACGUUUCACCUCCCACUAUCAGUCCAAGCAAUGCAAGAAAUCCGUGCUCUUCAGCAAGAGGUGAGGCAUGCUGGCAACGCUACUGAUCUGACCCUACACGAUAACUGGACUUACUGUUGGGGCUCAGUGGAUUUUAAGGCCAUCAAAUACUACAAAUUCUAUUUUCGAGAGGUGCAUGCACAUCAAUCAUACAAGUGGCUCUGGGCGGCCAAGUCAACGCUCAAAAUUAAGGUCUUUGGGUGGCUUCUUCUCUCUGACCGCUUAAACACACGUAACAUGCUAAAGAGGAGACACUACAAUAUUGGGGACGAUUACAACUGCCUUCUUUGUGAUCAGCAAAUCGAAGAGACUAUCGAACACAUGAUCUUCCAGUGCCCCUUUAGCCAACGAUGCUGGUCCAUUCUAGGGAUAACUUGGCAGCAAACUGGUUCAAGGCUUCGGUGGAUCAGCAUGGCAGCUCAUGAUUGGAGCAGUCCCAUGUUCAUGGAUGUUUUCCUUCAAGCGGCUUGGAGCAUUUGGAAAGAGAGGAAUAACAAACAUUUCAGAAGCAUCCCACCAACUAUUCUAUCAUGGCUCCAACGUUUCAAACAUGACUUUGCCCUGCUCCAACAUAGAACCAGAGAAGAUGUGAGAGACUUUAUUCUCUCUUUUGUAAUUAGCUUAGAACCCCCUUGAUUGCCCCCACCAUAUAAAGUAGUAGUAGCCCUAGCCUCCACAUAUGGAGGGAAGGCGCCAUGUAAAAUCACCAUGUACAUUGUACCCUGCUUUUGAGUAAUACAAACACAGUGGGAGCCUCUCCCACUGUCCAAUUCCUAAAAAAAAAGAAUUUUUGAUGCGGAGUGAUACUUUGGCAUAAUUUCAAUGUAAAUCUUCUUAAUCAUGGUAUGAAUAUUCAGAUCCGAAAGAUUCAAGACAAAAGUUCAUAUUGACAUAGAAAUAAUAAGACUUCAAGCAUACUAAUCAAAGCAACCAUGUCUUCUCAAAAUAACAUGGCAAAAGAAAGUUCAUCCCUACAAAAUCAUAUAGUUAGGCUAUGCUUCAUUUUCGUCACACAAAGAUGUUCCCAACUUCUAUACCCCCGAUGACAAGCCAAGCAAUUGUUUCAUACUUAAAUAAUCUCAAACUUUUUCAACCUUCACGCAAUACAUGAGCGUGAGCCAUGGAUAUAGCACUAUGGGUGGAAUAGAAUAUGAUGAUGGAGAUUGUGUGGAGAAGACAAAAAGGAGAAAGUCUCACAUUGACGAGGCUAAUCAACGGGCUAUGGAGAUGCCCAUUAAUUGAUGUCAACACGAGGAGUAGGGAUUGUUGGGGAACGUAGUAAUUUCAAAAAUUUCCUACGCACACGCAAGGAUCAUGGUGAUGCAUAGCAACGAGAGGGGAGAGUGUUGUCCAUGUACCCUCGUAGACCGAAAGCGGAAGCGUUAUAACAACGCAGUUGAUGUAGUCGUACGUCUUCACGGCCCGACCGAUCAAGCACCAAAACUAUGGCACCUCCGAGUUCUAGCACACGUUCAGCUCGAUGGCGAUCCCCGGACUCCGAUCCAGCAAAGUGUCGGGGAAGAGUUACGUCAGCACGACGGCGUGGUGACAAUCUUGAUGUUCCACUGUCGCAGGGCUUCGCCUAAGCACCGCUACAAUAUUAUCGAGGACUAUGGUGGAGGGGGACACCGCACACGGCUAAGAGAUCUCAAGGAUCAAUUGUUGUUGUGUCUAGAGGUGCCCCCUGCCCCAGUAUAUAAAGGAGCAAGGGGGAAGGGGGCGGCCGGCCUAGGAGGGGGCGCGCCAAGGGGAGUCCUACUCCCACCGGGAGUAGGACUCCCUCCUUCCUUGUUGGAGUAGGAGAAGGGGAAAGAGGGGGAGAGGAAAAAGGAAAAGGGGGCUGCGCCCCUGGUCCAAUUCGGACCAGAGGGGGGGCGCAGGCCUCCUUCCUUUUGGCCUCUCUCCUAUAUUCUCGUAUGGCCCAAUAAGGCCCAUAUACUCCCCGGCGAAUUCCCGUAACUCUCCGGUACUCCGAAAAAUACCUGAAUCACUCGGAACCUUUCCGAAGUCCGGAUAUAGUCGUGCAAUAUAUCGAUCUUUACGUCUCGACCAUUUUGAGACUCCUCGUCAUAUCCCUGGUCUCAUCCGGGACUCCGAACUCCUUCGGUACAUCAAAACUCAUAAACUCAUAAUAUAACUGUCAUCGAAACCUUAAGCGUGCGGACCCUACGGGUUCGAGAACAAUGUAGACAUGACCGAGACACGUUUCCGGUCAAUAACCAAUAGCGGAACCUGGAUGCUCAUAUUGGCUCCCACAUAUUCUACGAAGAUCUUUAUCGGUCAAACCGCAUAACAACAUACAUUGUUCCCUUUGUCAUUGAUAUGUUACUUGCCCGAGAUUCGAUCGUCGGUAUCUCAAUACCUAGUUCAAUCUCGUUACCGGCAAGUCUCUUUACUCGUUCUGUAAUACAUCAUCCCGCAACUAACUAAUUAGUUGCAAUGCUUGCAAGGCUUAAGUGAUGUGUAUUACCGAGAGGGCCCAGAGAUACCUCUCCGAUAAUCGGAGUGACAAAUCCUAAUCUCGAAAUACGCCAACCCAACAUGUACCUUCGGAGACACCUGUAGAGCACCUUUAUAAUCACACAGUUACGUUGUGACGUUUGGUAGCACACAAAGUGUUCCUCCGGUAAACGGGAGUUGCAUAAUCUCAUAGUCACAGGAACAUAUAUAAGUCAUGAAGAAAGCAGUAGCAACAUACUAAACGAUCGUGUGCUAAGCUAACGGAAUGGGUCAAGUCAAUCACAUCAUUCUCCUAAUGAUGUGAUCCCGUUAAUCAAAUGACAACUCUUUUGUCCAUGGCUAGGAAACUUAACCAUCUUUGAUUCACAAGCUAGUCAAGUAGAGGCAUACUAGUGACACUAUGUUUGUCUAUGUAUUCACACAUGUAUUAUGUUUCCGGUUAAUACAAUUCUAGCAUGAAUAAUAAACAUUUAUCAUGAAAUAAGGAAAUAAAUAAUAACUUUAUUAUUGCCUCUAGGGCAUAUUUCCUUCAGUCUCCCACUUGCACAAGAGUCAAUAAUCUAGUUCACAUCGCCAUGUGAUUUAACACCAAUAUUCAUAUCUGUAUAUGAUUAACACCCAUAGUUCACAUCGUCAUGUGACCAACACCCAAAGGGUUUACUAGAGUCAAUAAUCUAGUCCACAUAGCUAUGUGAUUAACACCCAAAGAGUAUUGAGGUGUGAUCAUGUUUUGCUCGUGAGAGAAGCUUAGUCAACGGGUCUGUCACAUUCAGAGCCGUAUGUAUUUUGCAAAUAUUCUAUGUUUACAAUGCUCUGCAUGGAGCUACUCUAGCUAAUUGCUCACACUUUCAAUAUGUAUCCAGAUUAAGACUUAGAGUCAUCUGGAUCGGUGUAAAAGCUUGCACCGAUGUAACUCUUUACGACGGGCUCUUUUAUCACCUCCAUAAUCGAGAAAUAUAUCCUUAUUCCACUAAGGAUAAUUUUGACCAAUGUCUAGUGAUCUACUCCUAGAUCACUAUUGUACUCCCUUGCCAAACCAGGGCAGAGUAUACAAUAGGCCUGGUCCAUAGCAUGACAUAGUUUUAUAGAACCUAUGAUUGAGGCAUAGGUAAUGACUUUUCAUUCUCUUUCUAUUUUCUGCCGUGGUCGGGAUUUGAGUCUUACUCAAUUUCACACCUUGCAACACAGGUAAGAACUCCUUUGACUAUUCCAUUUUGAACUACUUCAAAAUUUUAUCAAGGUAUGUACUCAUUGAAAAAACUUAUCAAGCGUCUUGAUCUAUCUAUAUAGAUCUUGAUGCUCAAUGUGUAAGCAGCUUCACCGAGGUCUUUCUUUGAAAAACUCCUUUCAAACACUCCUUUAUGCUUUCCAGAAAAUUCUACAUCAUUUCCAAUUAAUAAUAUGUCAUUCACAUAUACUUAUUAGAAAGGCUGUAGUGCUCCCACUCACUUUCUUGUAAAUACAGGCCUUUCCAAAAGUUUGUAUAAAACCAUAUGCUUUGAUCAACUCAUCAAAGCGUAUAUUCCAACUCCGAGAUGCUUGCACCAGUCCAUUGAUGGAUCGCUGGAGCUUGCACAUUUUGUUAGCACCUUUAGGAUUGACAAAACCUUCUGGUUGUAUCAUAUACAACUCUUCUUUAAUAAAUCCAUUAAGGAAUGUAGUUUUGACAUCCAUUUGCCAAAUUUCAUAAAAUGUGGCAAUUGCUAACAUGAUUCAGACAGACUUUUAAGCAUCAAGACGAGUGAGAAAAUCUCAUUGUAUUAAACACCUUGAACUUUGUCAAAAACCUUUUUCGACAAGUCUAGCUUUGUAGAUAGUAACACUACUAUCAGCGUCUGUCUUCCUCUUGAAGAUCCAUUUAUUUUCUAUGGCUUGCCGAUCAUCGGGCAAGUCCACCAAAGUCCACACUUUGUUCUCAUACAUGGAUCCCAUCUCAGAUUUCAUGUGUCACAACCCUAGAUCUUUGUUUGUAAUUAGUUGCAUCUUCAUCCAUGUCAUCAUGUUUAUAUUUAAAUGAACUUGAAAUGGGGAUGCUUAAACCCUAGCACCAAAUGAAUUCAACUAGGGUCAAAAUAAAAUCUUUUUCAUUGAACUCAAAAUGCCCUCUAAAAAUGUUCAACAUUUUUGGUUUGAGGUGGAAGCAUCUACCAAAAAUGGUUUAUAUUUUUGCAGGACAUAUUGGGCUCUGAAUUAAAUCAUACUCUAUUUGCAUUUGGGCAUUUAAAUGCUAUGCAAUAUUUUAAAUGCUCAAAUAAUCAUAAACUAAAAUGUUUGCUGUUGGUUAUAUUCCAAACAGUGGCAUUGAGCAGUUUCAUGAUUUCUGGAUCUGUUGAAGUAUUUUUAAUAAAGCCCUAAAGUUACAGAAAUAAUAGAAAACAGAAAAUUAAGGAGAGAGAGAGAACUUACCUGACUUAUCUGUCGCGGCCCAGCUGGCCAGCCCACCUGCGCGGCCCAGCCCGCCUGGCCCCUCCCCUAUCGUCUUCCUCCUUGCUAGGAGGACGAGCGCAUGCCCGACGCGCGUGCACCGCCGUGCGCCACCUCCUGCUUGACGCCGAGGGCCUGGACGCCUCUGGCGUUGCCACGCAGACCCCCUGGACCCCUCGACCGCUCCACUCUCUCCCCGCCUCGCCUCCUUCGCUCUCUCUCCCGAAGCAGAGCGAAGCCGUCGCCGCCGUUCACUGCCACCGCGUCCACCGUUCUCCCCUCGCCUCCCCGUGAUGUACAAGACCUCCGACGCGACGCCCUCACCCUCCCCACCGAGCCACGCUUCGCCGAGUCCCUGCAUCGCCACCAUAUGGUCGUCUUCAACCUCGGUACCCGCCGGACGCCGUUCGUCGAUUCGCCUCGCUCCGGUCGCCCCCGAGCCCACUGAUCUACUCAACGACCUCCCUGUGAGCUCCGCCGCAUUUUCCCUCUCCUCCCCGCGUCAUUUUUGCCCUCUAGCCGCAGCCCUGAGAUCACCCGAGGCCGCCGUCCGCCAUGACCGGCGAGCCCAUGCACCCGAGCUUCUCCUGCUCGCUCUAGGGGUACUGACAUGCUCCUGGCGCCUCCAGGAGGCUGCCUAGCCACUCCGUUAGCUCGCUCGAGCACUGCAGCCCUGCGCCCGCGCUAUCCCGAACUCCGGCCGCCGUUGUUGUCAUCGCCGGCGCCGCCACAGACCACCCCUAGUCCAGCCACCACCACCGUUAGAUGCGCCCAGCUACGGGCGAUCCAACGCGCCCGUCCGCGCGAUCUCUCGUCGCCGGAGUUGGCCGGACGGGCGACGCCGUCGUGAUGUGCUUAGCACCGGCGUUUAGCCGUCGACGUGGCACCGUCAUUAGCAGUUAAUGACUCCGCUAAUUAACCCACACUCUCACUGACAUGCGGGCCCCGCUGCCUAACUAACCAGCUAACAAGAAUAGAUUAAGAUUAAUCUAAACACAGUGGCCCCACGUGUCGGCGUUGACCUCGCUGAUUUGGCCGUCGACCGGUCCCACUUGUCAUCCACCUAAACCAGCCUGAGACACUGACGUAUGGGUCCCACUGGUCAGGUUUGACCUGGGCCGCCCAUUGACCUGCUGACAUCACUAAUACGUCAUGCUGACGCAGUAAAUGUUUUCUGGAGUUUUAAAUAAAUCAGAAAUGAUUUAUUUAUUUCAGAAAAUAUCCAAAACUUCUAAAAAUCAUAGAAUUUCAACCGUAACUCCAAAUGAAACAAAUUAUAUAUGAAAAAUGAUCAGAAAAAUCCAAUCUAUCCAUCUGCACUGGUUUCAUGCAUGUUAGAACACAUUAACCUUGCUGUUUAGGUGAAACAAGUUAAUGCACUAUUAUGACCUCUUAAAAUGGGUUUGCAUUUGAAUCUUUGAUUCAAAUGGACUCAUCUCAAUCUGAUCUAGCUGGCAUUAGACCAAAACACAUUCAUAUUGCCAUGUCAUAGCAUGCAUCAUAUUGUGCAUUGCAUUGAUCGUGUUUCUUCUGUGUUUGUCGGUGUUGUUCCCCCUCGGUAGACGUUGUACCAACGUUGUGAUCGUUGACACUAAUAAAGACUCAAUGCUAUCUUCAGAAGUGCCAGGCAAGCAAAACCCCCUUGUUCAUUCCGAUACAAUCCUACUCUCUCGCUCCUGCUCUCUUUUACUGCAUUAGGACAACAACGAUUCAUCUGUUACUUGCUGCGGUAGCUGAACCCCUUUAUCCUCUGCAUGACCUGUCAUUGCCACAGUAAAUAGAUGAAACCCACUAGCAUGAGUAGGAGUUGUUUGAGCCCUGUUGUGCCUACUCAUUCAUGCUUGUUUGUCAUGCCUGCUACUGCUUAGAGUUGAGUCAGGUUUGAUCCAUCGAGGAUGAAUCAGAGGUGUGUGAACAUGUCCUACUGUGUGUGAGCUAAGUGUGUGAACACGAUUUGGUAAAGGUAGCAGUGAGAGGCCAUGUAGGAGUACAUGGUGGGUUGUCUCAUUGAAGCCGUCCUUAGGAACUGAGUUCUGUGUUUGUGAUCCAUGAUUCAGCUACUACCAUGCAUUGGGCCCUGAAAUAUGACCCUGCUCGACUUCUUAUUCACCCUUGUCCUCUGUCCAGGAGUUGCAAGUAGUUUCUGGUGUUUGUAGUAUGCUGGAGGCCGUGCGCAGCGCUGACCGGAGGGGUGGGAUGUGAUGCGGUAGGCACGUGGCCGGGUAAACCAGGCGCCCGUUUGGUGUCACGGAACCCUAUUCACAUCGUUUGGGGCUGUGAGCGAAACUCCGGCCGGAUCUCCUCAUGGAUGGAACCCGAAUAGGCGAUAAACCUGGACUAGAGACUUGAAUGUUUAGGUAGGUCGUGGUCUACACUCACGUCGGCUUUCGCUUGAAGUCUGCCGAGCACAUGUCGUGUGCAGACGCUAAGUGGUGGAAACAUGUAUGAAGAAGUACACCCCUGCAGGGUUACCAUCAUCUAUUCGAAUAGCCGUGUCCACGGUAAAGGACUUCUGGGUUGCCUAUAACAGUUCAUAGACAAGUGAAAGUGGAUACUCUAAAAUGCGCAAGAUAAGCGUGAGUGCUAUGAAUGGCGUUCUCGUAGGGAGACGGGAGCGGAUCCAUAGUGGUGUAUUGAUAUGGUGAAUAUGUGGACUCGUGUGCGCCACCUCAAAAGAGUUACUUGCAGUCGUAGUUCAGGAUAGCCACCGAGUCAAAGCUGGCUUGCUGCAGUUAAACUCCACCACCCCCUUUGUUGAUAAUGAUGCAUAUGUAGUUAGUUCUGAUGUAAGUCUUGCUGGGUACAUUUGUACUCACGUUUGCCUAUUUUAUGUUUUUGCAGAGACUUCCGUCUCACUAGUAGUUUCGCGUGGACUUCAACAUUUAGCUUGAUACCUCAGCUACGAUCUUGUGCCCUCGGCAGGAUCUGGUAGAUAGUCAGGCUUCUAAGCCUUUUUCAUUUGUAGAUGUCUGUACUCAGACAUGUUAGCUUCCGCUUGUGCUUUGACUUGUAUGCUCUGAAUGUUGGGUCGUGAGACCCAUGUUUGUAAUAUCUCGCUCCUCGGAGCCUAAUGAAUAAAUACUUGAGUCGUAGAGUCAUGUUGUGAUGCCAUGUUGUAUUUGCACAUAUCGAGCAUAUUGUGUGUAUGUUAUUCAAAUGCUUGGUAUGUGUGGGAUCUGACUAUCUAGUUGUUUAUCCUUAGUAGCCUCUCUUACCGGGAAAUGUCUCCUAGUGUUUCCACCGAGCCAUGGUAGCUUGCUACUGCUCCGGAAUACUUAGGCUAGCCGGCAUGUGUCCUUCUUCGUUCCCGUGUCUGUCCCCUCGGGGAAAUGUCAUGUGAUGAAUACCGGAGUCAUGUUAGCCUGCUACAGCCCGGUUCACCGGAGUCCUGCUAGCCCAGUGCUACAGCCUGGAUUCACUCGGUAAUGACCGACACGUUCGAUGCUGGGUCAUGGAUGCCUGUCCCUGUAAGGUUGUGCCACUUUGGGUUUAUGACUAGCCAUGUCAGCCCGAGCUCCUUAUCAUAUGGAUGCUAGCGACACUAUCAUAUACGUGUGCCAAAAGGCGCAAACGGUCCCGGGCAAAGGUAAGGCGACACCCGUGGGAAUACUGUGCGUGAGGCCGCAAAGUGAUAUGAUGUGUUACAUGCUAGACCGAUGUGGCAUUGAGUCGGGGUUCUGACAGCUUUGGUAUCAGAGCCUGACUGCCUGUAGGAUUACCAAGCCAAACUGGUCGAAGUUGUGUCUAGAAAUGCUUUAGUUAUGUAAGGGAAUUGAUUGUGGGAUGGAACGUAAGGCUCUUUUUACUCCUUAUACCUCAUGGCCUUCUAAUCUGAGUCAUCCUCUUCUCUUCUACGGGGAUUAAGAAUUAGGUUAUCUCCUCUUUCUAUCAGGAUCACGUGUUACUAAUCUGUAGACUUGUAAGAUUGUUGGAUGUAAGCCUCAGUCCAGUUCCUACCACUUCUGUAUGUUAACUGAUGAUCUUGAAACCUUGAUAUUGUGCUUCUGAGUGGCUAUGCCACCAUUUCUGUAGUAUGUCUCCAAACUUUUGAGCAUUUACAUCCGUUAUGCUGUCCGAGUCAUCCCAGGUUUCUAAACAAUCUGAUGCACUUGCAAAUCCUUUCCCUCUGGUUUUUAUGUUCCUUUGGGCCAGGUUAAUCACACUAAUUGCUGAGUUGAGGUAUUCUAUUGCCUCGACAUAUAUGUUGGAAUUAUCAUUAUGACCCUAGGUGUCCUAGGGGAUCAUCUAGUAAUCUAGCCAUGAUUGGUGUCCCAGUGUGAUGAUUCUGGCCUUUAUUCUCGAAAGCAUCCCGUGAUGCUACUUAGUAGUAGAUAUUCUAUUCCUGGGUUCUUGAACCCGAGAUUCACUCUACUUACUUCAUGUUGAUAGUGUUUGCUAGUUCCUUUAGGAUAUUAGUAACUUUGCGAUAGUCCUCGAGGUCCGUGGUAUUUCCUUCUUCCAAAUACUAUGAACCGCUUAUGGCAGAUGUUUAUUGGAUCAAAAGAUCACAAUUAGAGUACUCUUGAGGAGUUCUCCAUUCAUAAAUCGUGACUCUGCCAGUCCUACCUCUCUGCAUGGGUUAUCCGGAAGAAACAUGUUGAACUUGGUUCGACAUACUAAUCUAUGCAUCCUCAACUUAGAAAAUUUUAUGUUCUUUGAGUUGUCCCUCUUAGUUGUCUUCUGACCCUCGUAUAUCAGUUGAUAGUCAAGAGUAUGCGUGCAUUCCUAUUACUCUUGUGGUCCGUCAAGCCAUUCUAUUCCGGAAUGACUAGGAGAAACAAACUCCAGUACCUUGUCCAUUUCCAGGAUUGGGUCAAAGCAGUCGUACUCCGCAGAUCAAAUUGCUAAUCUUGCUUUUGCUCUGUUCUACCUUGGAGUAUUACCAUCUUCAUAUCAAGAAUGUCAUGGGAACUGCACACCAUCCUAUGAACUCUUGAUACAGUGAUACUUCUUAUCAUCAUUAUUCAUUCCUCGGUUUUGUGUUAUUGUAACCGGAACGCCGACAAGUGAAUCAUGACGUGUGAAAUCAAUACUCCUAGCAACUCCGUUGCUUGGUAGUUAACUGGACAAUAACCUCAUCCUUAGCAAGUUCAUCACUGAAUCAUCACCCUAAGGUUGAUCGUGCUACCUAGUCCACUUUCCUGGUGCACUCCUCGAUUGAUGAGUUAGGAUUUUGUUUAGUCCUUGCUCAUUUGAUCAUAUCGUCUUGCCCUGAAAAGCAAGAUUGUUCUCGAGUUUAGUAACAUAUCGGUGGUUCAUGAUUUUCCGAAUAUCCUCUCGGAAGUAUCACCAAGUCGUCACCUGACUGUUAUGUUGAGCUCAUGAUCAAAUUGGUUUCCUGUAAACCACCCCCUUCUCCAAAAUUCUAUGUUGGAUACCCUGAGCUAGUCGGUAAACUGAACAACAACUUGGAGAGUUGGAAGAUAAAAGCUUGUCCGACUUAGUUCAUUUUAAGGGAUAUCUUGUAUGUGUGUUGAAGAAAGAUGAUAUCUUUAUUGGUUGAUCCUCGUGAUCAAUUGUUGGAUCUAUUAUCUUACCCAAACCAUUGAUUUGAGUAUGGGCUAUCGUCAAAUCAAAUCAGAACCAACGAUAUUCGUAAUGUUGUCUUACUCGUGGUUGAUUCCUCAAGCAUACACCACUAUAUCUCUUGGGUCUGACCAAUGCUAUCACCGUGUUCACAUGAUGGUGGAAGUCCAGUGAUAUGGAAAUUCCGAUGAGUUGUUGUUGAGCCCAUCAGCAGCAUUUUGUCUCCCCCAUGAUUCAUGUUGGACAUCAACCUAGUGUUGGAAACUUUGUAAGCAAUGCAUUCGUGUUCCGUUCAUGAAGCCUAUGCUUGGAUGGAAGAAGUGACUUCCUCGAAUUCAUGUGCAUUUGGUGCAAGUUGCUGCCAUGAAUUUGGGAAAGGUUUGUUUUGCUUCCUUCGGAAUCAUCCCAAGUCAGUCACGCAUUCGUGCGAAGUAUUCUAUGGUUUGGUAGAUUAAUUACCUCCAUUCUAUAUGUGUCCCUAGCACACCAAGCCACUGAUUGAUCUGUUCAAGGAUAAUAAGUUCUAAGUGCUAGUCCUAAAGGUACCAGACGGAUUUGUACAAGAUUUUGUUAUCCUCAAUGAUGGUUUCCCACCUGAACGUGGUAGUGUUUUAUUGUAAGACUACGAUGUGGCCAUGCUUGUCUGAGACAACGUGUUCACAUGUUUGUAGCAGAACCAGCUCAUAUUUUGGAGCUUACUAUCGUAGUUCAUUCCCCGAGAAUCUCACAACGUCAUCUCGUCGAUUGUGUUGCAAACUUUCGGUUUUCUUUCUAGACUUGAUGAGUCUAGAAUAUCCUGACACCAGCCAGAUCUGAAUCUCAGGCAAAUAUGAUGGUUGGAACGUCUUCCAAGAACUAUAAUAUUGGUCUCUUUGUAACCCGGUGAAGUGGAUGUCGUGGCCAACACAUCUAGCCGGAAGACCUAUUAUUGUAGGCUCUUGAUUGAGAAAGUUGGCUACCUCCACAUAAGGAUUUCGUGGGAUUUACUCCCAAAUUGACCCUUAUGGAUUUUUGAGUUCCCGAAGUCCGACCUUUACCUGAUGUUCUAGAUGUCAAACCAUAUCUAUGAAUGGAUUAUGCUAGUACAUCAAGGAGAACAUUAGAAGCGGAGUGCUAAAUGUCUCUCGGUCGAUCAUCCAGAUUUCGUCCCCUUGGCCCCGCUAAGGUGAAAUCUGAGAAAGUGUUGUCUUCCUUUGUAUCUGCAUCCUCCACCGGUAUUCGUCAUGGUAGUAUGUUGUGUUGCCAGGAUCCCUGACACGGAUAUUGGUAAAACCUUGAUGAAUAUGGAAAUGCUCAAGUUCUUGAGAGCACGCGCAAGCGCUAGGUGUUAACAUCGGCACUAACUGGGAUUGCUCUCAGUUUCCUCGGUUAUGCUAUAACUUUUCAAACAGUGGACUCACUCUCUACUGUUGAGCUUCUCCCCAAUUACUAAAAUCAUCCCUUGCGUUGUUUUCAGCAAGGUAGUCCACAUCAUCCAUACUGGUCCGGGUAUGUCAUUCCACCGGACUCCUCCAAAUGAUCGAUUGUGAUUUGCCUUAGGCUGGUAUAAAGAGUUUCAAUGAUCCUUGAAUCAAAGGUAAUUCUUUUUGCCACUUAAGGGGGAUAUAUUCUGCGAGUCACCUCCUCUAAGAUGUCUCGUUAUGGUAUCAUGGCAAUUAUUUCCUCGCCACCUUGACACGCGUGGAAUUGUUUCCCACCAAAUCAAGCCCCGCCGUUUGUUCUUCCAUCCCUCUCGAUGUGUUUUGUGUCUCAACUCAAGAUGUUUCAACAUCUCAUUCUGCGAGUUGAGAUUGUGUAGUUCAAUCUUUGAGAAUAUCAAUCCUAGUAGAGUUUCUUUCCGUCGUCAUCGCGUGGAUGAAGAUCUCAAGCGAGGAUGUCAAGAUCAACGUAUGCAACGAAUCAACAACCUUAUGAGGUGCAACUUGGAUCGUGAAGAUUGUGUUGGUCUUGUGCCCCCUCUGUCUUCUUACCUCACGACCUGAAUCUCGGGACGAGAUUCUUGUUUAGUAGGGGUGAGUUGUCACAGCCCUAGAUCUUUGUUUGUAAUUAGUUGCAUCUUCAUCCAUGUCAUCAUGUUUAUAUUAAAUGAACUUGAAAUGGGGAUGCUUAAACCCUAGCACCAAAUGAAUUCAACUAGGGUCAAAAUAAAAUCUUUUUCAUUGAACUCAAAAUGCCCUCUAAAAAUGUUCAACAUUUUUGGUUUGAGGUGGAAGCAUCUACCAAAAAUGGUUUAUAUUUUUGCAGGACAUAUUGGGCUCUGAAUUAAAUCAUACUCUAUUUGCAUUUGGGCAUUUAAAUGCUAUGCAAUAUUUUAAAUGCUCAAAUAAUCAUAAACUAAAAUGUUUGCUGUUGGUUAUAUUCCAAACAGUGGCAUUGAGCAGUUUCAUGAUUUCUGGAUCUGUUGAAGUAUUUUUAAUAAAGCCCUAAAGUUACAGAAAUAAUAGAAAACCGAAAAUUGAGGAGAGAGAGAACUUACCUGACUUACCUGUCGCGGCCCAGCUGGCCAGCCCACCUGCGCGGCCCAGCCCGCCUGGCCCCUCCCCUGUCGUCUUCCUCCUUGCCAGGAGGACGGGCGCAUGCCCGACGCGCGUGCACCGCCUUGCGCCACCUCCUGCUUGACGCCGAGGGCCUGGACGCCUCUGGAGUUGCCAUGCAGACCCCCUGGACCCCUCGACCGCUCCACUCUCUCCCUGCCUCGCCUCCUUCGCUCUCUCUCCCGAAGCAGAGCGAAGCCGUCGCCGCCGUUCACUGCCACUGCGUCCACCGUUCUCCCCUCGCCUCCCCAUGAUGUACAAUACCUCCGACGCGACGCCCUCGCCCUCCCCACCGAGCGACGCUUCACCGGAGUCCCUGCAUCGCCACCAUCUGGUCGUCUUCAACCUCGAUACCCGCCGGACGCCGUUCGUCGAUUCGCCUCGCUCCGGUCGCCCCCGAGCCCACUGAUCUACUCAACGACCUCCCUGUGAGCUCCGCCGCUUUUUGCCUCUCCUCCCCGCGUCAUUUUCGCCCUCUAGCCGCAGCCCUGAGAUCACCCGAGGCCGAGCUUCUCCUGCUCGCUCUAGGGGUACUGACAUGCUCCUGGCGCCUCCAGGAGGCUGCCUAGCCACUCCGUUAGCUCGCCCAAUCACUGCAGCCCCGCGCCCGCGCUAUCCCAAACUCCGGCCGCCGCUGUUGUCAUCGCCGGCGCCGCCACAGACCACCCCUGGUCCAGCCACCACCACCGUCAGAUGCGCCCAGCUACGGGCGAUCCAACGCGCCCGGCCGCGCGAUCUCUCGUCGCCGGAGUUGGCCGGACGGGCGACGCCGUCGUGCUGUGCUUAGCACCGACGUUUAUCCGUCGACGUGGCACCGUAUUAGCAGUUAAUGACUCCGCUAAUUAACCCACACUCUCACUGACAUGCGGGCCCCGCUGCCUAACUAACCAGCUAACAAGAAUAGAUUAAGAUUAAUCUAAACACAGUGGCCCCACGCGUCGGUGUUGACCUCGCUGACGUGGCCGUCGACCGGUCCCACUUGUCAUCCACCUAAACCAGCCUGAGACACUGACGUAUGGGUCCCACUGGUCAGGUUUGACCUAGGCCGCCCAUUGACCUGCUGACAUCACUAAUACGUCAUGCUGAUGCAGUAAAUGUUUUCUGGAGUUUUAAAUAAAUCAGAAAUGAUUUAUUUAUUUCAGAAAAUAUCCAAAACUUCUAAAAAUCAUAGAAUUUCAACCGUAACUCCAAAUGAAACAAAUUAUAUAUGAAAAAUGAUCAGAAAAAUCCAAUCUAUCCAUCUGCACUGGUUUCAUGCAUGUUAGAACACAUUAACCUUGCUGUUUAGGUGAAACAAGUUAAUGCACUAUUAUGACCUCUUAAAAUGGGUUUGCAUUUGAAUCUUUGAUUCAAAUGGACUCAUCUCAAUCUGAUCUAGCUGGCAUUAGCCCAAAACACAUUCAUAUUGCCAUGUCAUAGCAUGCAUCAUAUUAUGCAUUGCAUUGAUCGUGUUUCUUCUGUGUUUGCCGGUGUUGUUCCCCCUCGGUAGACGUUGUACCAACGUUAUGAUCGUUGACACUAAUGAAGACUCAAUGCUAUCUUCAAAAGUGCCAGGCAAGCAAAACCCCCUUGUUCAUUCCGAUACAAUCCUACUCUCUCGCUCCUGCUCUCUUUUACUGCAUUAGGACAACAACGAUUCAUCUGUUACUUGCUGCGGUAGCUGAACCCCUUUAUCCUCUGCAUGACCUGUCAUUGCCACAGUAAAUAGAUGAAACCCACUAGCAUGAGUAGGAGUUGUUUGAGCCCUGUUGUGCCUACUCAUUCAUGCUUGUUUGUCAUGCCUGCUACUGCUUAGAGUUGAGUCAGGUUUGAUCCAUCGAGGAUGAAUCAGAGGUGUGUGAACAUGUCCUACUGUGUGUGAGCUAAGUGUGUGAACACGAUUUGGUAAAGGUAGCAGUGAGAGGCCAUGUAGGAGUACAUGGUGGGUUGUCUCAUUGAAGUCGUCCUUAGGAACUGAGUUCUAUGUUUGUGAUCCAUGAUUCAGCUACUACCAUGCAUUGGGCCCUGAAAUAUGACCCUGCUCGACUUCUUAUUCACCCUUGUCCUCUGUCCAGGAGUUGCAAGUAGUUUCUGGUGUUUGUAGUAUGCUGGAGGCCGUGCGCAGCGCUGACUGGAGGGGUGGGCUGUGAUGCGGUAGGCACGUGGCCGGGUAAACCAGGCGCCCGUUUGGUGUCACGGAACCCUAUUCACAUCGUUUGGGGCUGUGAGCGAAACUCCGGCCGGAUCUCCUCAUGGAUGGAACCUGAAUAGGCGAUAAAACUGGACUGGAGACUUGAAUGUUUAGGUAGGUCGUGGUCUACACUCACGUCGGCUUUCGCUUGAAGUCUGCCGAGCACAUGUCGUGUGCAGACGCUAAGUGGUGGAAACAUGUAUGAAGAAGUACACCCCUGCAGGGUUAACAUCAUCUAUUCGAAUAGCCGUGUCCACGGUAAAGGACUUCUGGGUUGCCUAUAACAGUUCAUAGACAAGUGAAAGUGGAUACUCUAAAAUGCGCAAUAUAAGCGUGAGUGCUAUGAAUGGCGUUCUCGUAGGGAGACGGGAGCGGAUCCAUAGUGGUGUAUUGAUAUGGUGAAUAUGUGGACUCGUGUGCGCCACCUCAAAAGAGUUACUUGCAGUCGUAGUUCAGGAUAGCCACUUUGUCAAAGCUGGCUUGCUGUAGUUAAACUCCACCACCCCCUUUGUUGAUAAUGAUGCAUAUGUAGUUAGUUCUGAUGUAAGUCUUGCUGGGUACAUUUGUACUCACGUUUGCCUAUUUUAUGUUUUUGCAGAGACUUCCGUCUCACUAGUAGUUCCGCAUGGACUUCGACGUUUAGCUUGAUACCUCAGCUACGAUCUUGUGCCCUCGGCAGGAUCUGGUAGAUAGUCAGGCUUCUAAGCCUUUUUCAUUUGUAGAUGUCUGUACUCAGACAUGUUAGCUUCCGCUUGUGCUUUGACUUGUAUGCUCUGAAUGUUGGGUCGUGAGACCCAUGUUUGUAAUAUCUCGCUCCUCGGAGCCUAAUGAAUAAAUACUUGAGUCGUAGAGUCAUGUUGUGAUGCCAUGUUGUAUUUGCACAUAUCGAGCAUAUUGUGUGUAUGUUAUUGAAAUGCUUGGUAUGUGUGGGAUCGGACUAUCUAGUUGUUUAUCCUUAGUAGCCUCUCUUACCGGGAAAUGUCUCCUAGUGUUUCCACCGAGCCAUAGUAGCUUGCUACUGCUCCGGAACACUUAGGUUGGCCGGCAUGUGUCCUUCUUCGUUCCUGUGUUUGUCCCCUCGGGGAAAUGUCACGCGAUGAAUACCGGAGUCCUGUUAGCCCGCUACAGCCCGGUUCACCGGAGUCCUGCUAGCCCAGUGCUACAGCCUGGAUUCACUCGCUGAUGACCGACACGUUCGAUGCUGGGUCAUGGAUGCAUGUCCCUGUAAGGUUGUGCCACUUUGGGUUUAUGACUAGCCAUGUCAGCCCGGGCUCCUUAUCAUAUGGAUGCUAGCAACACUAUCAUAUACGUGUGCCAAAAGGCGCAAACGGUCCCGGGCAAAGGUAAGGCGACACCCGUGGGAAUACCGUGCGUGAGGCCGCAAAGUGAUAUGAUGUGUUACAUGCUAGACCGAUGUGGCAUUGAGUCGGGGUUCUGACAUCAUGGCCUCAAACCAUUUUGCGGAAUCUGGGCUCAUCAUCUCUUCCUCAUAGUUCGUAGGUUCAUCAUGGUCUAGUAACAUGACUUCCAGAAUAGGAUUACCGUACCACUCUGGUGCGGAUCUUAAUCUGGAAGAUCUACAAAGUUCGGUAGUAACUUGAUCUGAAGCUUCAUGAUCAUUAUCAUUAGCUUCCUCACUAAUUGGUGUAGGAAUCACUAGAACUGAUUUAUGUGAUAAACUACUUUCCAAUUCGGGAGAAGGUACAAUUACCUUAUCAAGCUCUACUUUCCUCCCACUCACUUCUUUCGAGAGAAACUCCUUCUCUAGAAAGGAUCCAUUUUAGCAACGAAUAUAUUGCCUUCAGAUCUGUGAUAGAAGGUGUACCCAACAGUUUCCUUUGGGUAUUCUAUGAAGACGCACUUCUUCGAUUUGGGUUCGGGCUUAUCAGGUGAAACUUUUUCAGAUAAGCAUCGCAGCCCCCAAACUUUAAGAAACGACAACUUUGGUUUCUUGCCAAACCACAGUUCAUAAGGCGUCAUAUCAACGGAUUUUAAUGGUGCCCUAUUAAACGUGAAUGCAGCUGUAUCUAAUGCAUAACCCCAAAGCGAUAGUGGUGAACUGAUAAGAGACAUCAUAGAUCGCACCAUAUCUAGUAAAGUACGAUUACGAUGUUCGGACACACCAUUACGUUGUGGUGUUCCUGGUGGCGUGAGUUGCGAAACUAUUUCAUAUUGUUUCAAAUGAAGACCAAACUCGUAACUCAAAUAUUCAUCUCCACGAUCUGAUCGUAGAAACUUUAUUUUUCUUGUUACGAUGAUUUUUCACUUCUCUCUGAAAUUCUUUGAACUUUUCAAAUGUUUCAGACUUAUGUUUCAUCAAGUAGAUAUGCCCAUAUCUGCUCAAAGCAUCUAUGAAGGUCAGAAAAUAAUGAUACACGCCGCGAGCCUUAACACUCAUCGGAUUGCAUACAUCGGUAUGUAUUAUUUCCAAUAAGUCAGUAGCUCGUUCCAUUGUUCCGGGGAACGGAGUUUUAGCCAUCUUGCCCAAAAGGCACGGUUCGCAAGCAUCAAAUGAUUCAUAACCAAGUGAUUCUGAAGAUCCAUCUUUAUGGAGUUUCUUCAUGCGCUUUACACCGAUAUGACCCAAACGGCAGUGCCACAAAUAAGUUGCACUAUCAUUAUUAACUUUGCAUCUUUUGGCAUCAAUAUAAUGAAUAUGUGUAUCACUACAAUCGAGAUCCAACAAACUAUUUUCAUUGGGUGUAUGACCAUUUGAAGGUUUUAUUCAUUUAAAUAGAACAACAAUUAUUCUUUGACUUUAAAUGAAUAAUCGUAUUGCAAUAAACAUGAUCAAAUCAUAUUCAUGCUCAACGCAAACGCCAAAUAACAUUUAUUUAGGUUUAAAACUAAUCCCGAAAGUAUAGGGAGUGUGCGAUGAUGAUCAUAUCAAUCUUGGAACUACUUCCAACACUCAUCGUCACUUCCCCUUUAACUAGUCUCUGUUUAUUCUGUAAUUCCUAUUUCGAGUUACUAAUCUUAGCAACCGAACAAGUAUCAAAUACUCAAGGGCUACUAUAAACACUAGUAAGGCACACAUCAAUAACCUGUAUAUCAAAUAUACCCUUGUUCACUUUGCCAUCCUUCUUAUCCACCAAAUAUUCAGGGCAUUUCCGCUUCGAGUGACCAUUUCCUUUGCAGUCUAAGCACUCAGUUUCAGGCUUUGGUUCAACUUUGGGCUUCUUCGUGGGAGUGACAACUUGCUUGUCAUUUACUUGAAAUUCCCCUUUCUUUCCCUUUGCCCUUUUCUUGAAACUAGUGAUCUUGUCAACCAUCAACACUUGAUGCUGUUUCUUGAUUCCUACCUUCGUCGAUUUCAACAUCACGAAGAGCUCGGGAAUUGUUUCCGUCAUCCCUUGCAUACUAUAGUUCAUCACAAAGUUCUACUAACUGGUGAUGGUGACUAGAGAACUCUGUCAAUCACUAUCUUAUCUGGAAGAUUAACUCCCACUUGAUUCAAGCGAUUGUAGUACCCAGACAAUCUGAGCACAUGCUCACUAGUUGAGUGAUUCUCCUCAAUCUUUUAGCCAUAGAACUUGUUGGAGACUUCAUAUCUCUUAACUCGGAUAUUUGCUUGAAAUAUUAGCUUCAACUCCUGGAACAUCUCAUAUGGUCCAUGACGUUCAAAACGUCUUUGAAGUUCCGAUUCUAAGCCGUUAAGCAUGGUGCACUAAACUAUCAAGUAGUCAUCAUAUUGAGCUAGCCAAACGUUCAUAACGUCUGCAUCUGCUCCUGCAAUAGGUCUGUCACCUAGCGGUGCAUUAAGGGCAUAAUUCUUCUGUGCAGCAAUGAGGAUAAACCUCAGAUCACGGAUCCAAUCCACAUCAUUGCUACUAACAUCUUUCAACACAAUUUUCUCUAGGAACAUAUCAAAACAAACAUAUGAAAGCAACAACGCGAGCUAUUGAUCUACAACAUAAUUUGCAAAAUACUACCAGGACUAAGUUCAUGAUAAAUUUAAGUUCAAUUAAUCAUAUUACUUAAGAACUCCCACUUAGACAGACAUCUCUCUAGCCAUCUAAGUGAUCACGUGAUCCAAAUCAACUAAACCAUGUCCGAUCAUCACGUGAGAUGGAGUAGUUUCAAUGGUGAACAUCACUAUGUUGAUCAUAUCUACUAUAUGAUUCAUGUUCGACCUUUUGGUCUCCGUGUUCCGAGGCCAUAUCUGUAUAUGCUAGGCUCGUCAAGUUUAACCUGAGUAUUCCGCGUGUGCAACUGUUUUGCACCCGUUGUAUUUGAACGUAGAGCCUAUCACAUCCGAUCAUCACGUGGUGUCUCAGCACGAAGAACUUUCGCAAUGGUGCAUACUCAGGGAGAACACUUCUUGAUAAUUUAGUGAGAGAUCAUCUUAAAAUGCUACCGUCAAUCAAAGCAAGAUAAGAUGCAUAAAGGAUAAACAUCACAUGCAAUCAAUAUAAGUGAUAUGAUAUGUCCAUCAUCAUCUUGUGCUUGUGAUCUCCAUCUCCGAAGCACCAUCGUGAUCACCAUCAUCAAUGGCGCGACACCUUGAUCUCCAUCGUAGCAUCGUUGUCGUUACGCCAUCUAUUGCUUCUACGACUAUCGCUACCGCUUAGUGAUAAAGUAAAGCAAUUACAGGGCGUUUGCAUUUCAUACAAUAAAGCGACAACCAUAUGGCUCCUGCCAGUUACCGAUAACUUUGGUUACAAAACAUGAUCAUAUCAUACAAUAAAAUAUAGCAUCACGUCUUGACCAUAUCACAUCACAACAUGCCCUGCAAAAACAAGUUAGACGUCCUCUACUUUGUUGUUGCAAAUUUUACGUGGCUGCUAUGGGCUGAGCAAGAACCGUUCUUACCUACACAUCAAAACCACAACGAUAGUUCAUCAAGUUAGUGCUGUUUUAACCUUCGCAAGGACUGGACGUAGCCACACUCGGUUCAACUAAAGUUGGAGAAACAGACACCCGCUAGUCACCUGUGUGCAAAGCACGGCAGUAAAACCAGUCUCGCGUAAGCGUACGCGUAAUGUCGGUCCGGGCCGCUUCAUCCAACAAUACCGUUGAACCAAAGUAUGACAUGCCGGUAAGUAGUAUGACUUGUAUCGCCCACAACUCAGUUGUGUUCUACUCGUGCAUAUAACAUCAACGCAUAAAACCUAGGCUCGGAUGCCACUGUUGGGGAACGUAGUAAUUUCAAAAAUUUCCAACGCACACGCAACGAUCAUGGUGAUGCAUAGCAACGAGAGGGGAGAAUGUUGUCCACAUACCCUCAUAGACCGAAAGUGGAAGCGUUAUAACAACGCGGUUGAUGUAGUCGUACGUCUUCACGGCCCGACCGAUCAAGCACCGAAACUACGGCACCUCCGAGUUCUAGCACACGUUCAGCUCGAUGACGAUCCCCGGACUCCGAUCCAGCAAAGUGUCGGGGAAGAGUUCUGUCAGCACGACGGCGUGGUGACGAUCUUGAUGUUUGACUGUCGCAGGGCUUCGCCUAAGCACCGCUACAAUAUUAUCGAGGACUAUGGUGGAGGGGGGCACCGCACACGGCUAAGAGAUCUCAAGGAUCAAUUGUUGUUAUGUCUAGAGGUGCCCCCUGCCCCCGUAUAUAAAGGAGCAAGGGGGGAGGGGCGGCCGGCCUAGGAGGGGGCGCGCCAAGGGGAGUCCUACUCCCACCGGGAGUAGGACUCCCUCCUUCCUUGUUGGAGUAGGAGAAGGGGAAAGAGGGGGAGAGAAAAAAGGAAAAGGGGGCUGCGCCCCUGGUCCAAUUCGGACCAGAGGGGGGGCGCAGGCCUCCUUCCUUUUGGCCUCUCUCCUCUAUUCUCGUAUGGCCCAAUAAGGCCCAUAUACUCCCCAGCGAAUUCCCGUAACUCUCCGGUACUCCGAAAAAUACCCGAAUCACUCGGAACCUUUCCGAAGUCCGAAUAUAGUCGUCCAAUAUAUCGAUGUUUACGUCUCGACCAUUUUGAGACUCCUCGUCAUGUCCCCGAUCUCAUCCGGGACUCCGAACUCCUUCGGUACAUCAAAACUCAUAAACUCAUAAUAUAACUGUCAUCGAAACCUUAAGCGGGCGGACCAUACGGGUUCGAGAACAAUGUAGACAUGACCGAGACACGUUUCCGGUCAAUAACCAAUAGCGGAACCUGGAUGCUCAUAUUAGCUCCCACAUAUUCUACGAAGAUCUUUAUCUGUCAAACCGCAUAACAACAUACGUUGUUCCCUUUGUCAUCGGUAUGUUACUUGCCCGAGAUUCGAUCGUCGGUAUCUCAAUACCUAGUUCAAUCUCGUUACCGGAAAGUCUCUUUACUCGUUCCGUAAUACAUCAUCCCGCAACUAACUAAUUAGUUGCAAUGCUUGCAAGGCUUAAGUGAUGUGUAUUACCGAGAGGGUCCAGAGAUACCUCUCCGAUAAUCGGAGUGACAAAUCCUAAUCUCGAAAUACGCCAACCCAACAUGUACCUUCGGAGACACCUGUAGAGCAGCUUUAUAAUCACCCAGUUACGUUGUGACGUUUGGUAGCACACAAAGUGUUCCUCCGGUAAACGGGAGUUGCAUAAUCUCAUAGUCACAGGAACAUAUACAAGUCAUGAAGAAAGCAGUAGCAACAUACUAAACGAUCGUGUGCUAAGAUAACAGAAUGGGUCAAGUCAAUCACAUCAUUCUCCUAAUGAUGUGAUCCCGUUAAUCAAAUGACAACUGUUUUGUCCAUGGCUAGGAAACUUAACCAUCUUUGAUUCACGAGCUAGUCAAGUAGAGGCAUACUAGUGACACUAUGUUUGUCUAUGUAUUCACACAUGUAUUAUGUUUCCGGUUAAUACAAUUCUAGCAUGAAUAAUAAACAUUUAUCAUGAAAUAAGGAAAUAAAUAAUAACUUUAUUAUUGCCUCUAGGGCAUAUUUCCUUCAGGGAUUCCCAUGCAACGGAUGCACUAGAGCUAUGAAUGCUCAACAAAAGAAAACUAGUGGGUGUGCAUCCAACUCGCUUGCUCACGAAGACCUAGGGCAUUUGAGUAAGCCCAUCGUAGGAAUAUACAAGCCAUGUUCUAUAAUGAAAAAUUCCCACUAGUAUAAAAAGACAACUUAUGAGACUCACUACAUGAGGAACAAGGUGCUACUUUGAAGCACAAUAUAUGAGACUCACUACAUGAAGAACAAGGUGCUACUUUGAAGCACAAGUGUGGAAAAAGAGAUAGUAGCAUUGCCCUUUUUAUUUUCUUUUUUUGGGCCUUUUUUUGGCCUUUCUCUUUUUUUUGGGCCUUUCUUUUUUUAUGGCCCCCUUUUUUUGGGCAAUGCUCUAAUAAUGAUGAUCAUCACACUUUCAUUACAACGUAUGAAUUACAACUCGAAACUAGAACAAGAUAUGACUCUAUAUGAAUGCCUCCGGCGGUGUAUCGGGAUGGUGCAAUGAAUCAAGAGAGACAUGUAUGAAAAAUUAUGCAUGGUGGCUUUGCCACAAAUACGAUGUCAACUACAGGAUCAUGCAAUGGCAAUAUGACAAAAGUAAUGCAUGUACGAUGAUGAUGGUGGAAGUUGCAUGGCAAUAUAUCUCGGAAUGGCUAUGGAAAUGCCAUGAUAGGUAGGUAUGGUGGCUGUUUUGAGGAAGAUAUAAGGAGGUUUAUGUGUCAUAGAGCGUAUCGUAUCACGGGUUUGGAUGCACCGGCGAAGUUUUCGCCAACUCUCAAGGUGAGAAAGGGCAAUGCACGGUACCGAAGAGGCUAGCAAAGGCGGAAAGGUGAGAGUGCGUAUAAUCCAUGGACUCAACAUUAGUCAAAAGAACUCAUAUGCUUAUUGCAAAAAUUUAGAAGUCAUGAGAAAUUCAAAUGCUACGCGCAUGCUCCUAGGGGGAUAGAUUGGUAGGAAAAGACCAUCGCUCGUCCCGACCGCCACUCAUAAGGAUGCACAAGCCAGGUACACUUCAUGUUUCAAAUUUGUUACACAACUUUAACCGUACGUGCAUGCUACGGGAUUUGCUAACUUCAACACAAGUAUUUCUCAAAUUCAUAAUCACCCAACUAGCACGACUAUGAUAUUAUCACCUCCAUAUCUCAAAACAAUUAUCAAGCAUCAAACUUAUCUUAGUAUUCAACGCACUCAAAAGAAAGUUUCACAUAUCUUGAAUACCAAGUAUAUUAACAUUAAGCAAAUUACCAUGCUAUUAACGACUCUCAAAAUAAUCUAAGUGAAGCAUGAGAGAUCAAGUUUCUUUAAAACAAAUCCACCACCGUGCUCUAAAAGAUCUAAGUGAAGCACUAGAGCAAAAAUUAUCACGCUCAAAAGGAUAUAAGCGAAGCACUAUGAGCAAAACUAUCAAGCUCAAAAGAUAUAAGUGAAGCACAUAGAGUAUUCUAACAAAUUUCAAUUCAUGAAUGGCUCUCUCAAAAGGUGUGUACAGCAAGGAUGAUUGUGGUAAACUAACUAGAAAAGACGCAAAUAAUACAACUAUACAAGACACUCCAAGCAAAACACAUAUCAUGUUGGUGAAUAAAAAUAUAGCUCCAAGUAAAUUACCGAUGGAAGUGGACGAAAGAGGGGAUGCCUUCCGGGGCAUCCCCAAGCUUUGACUUUUUGGUGUCCUUGGAUUAUCUUGGGGGUGCCAUGGGCAUCCCCAAGCUUAGGCUCUUGCCACUCCUUGUUCCAUAGUCCAUCAAAAGAAUUCACCCAAAACUUGAAAACUUCACAACACAAAACUCAACAGAAAUCUCGUGAGCUCCGUUAGAGAAAGAAAACAAAAGACUACUUCAAGGUACUGUAAUGAACUCAUUCUUUAUUUAUAUUGGUGUUAAACCUACUGUAUUCCAACUUCUCUAUGGUUUAUAAGCUAAUUUACUAUACAUAGAUUCAUCAAAAUAAGCAAACAACACACGCAAAACAGAAUCUGUCAAAAACAGAAUAGUCUGUAGUAAUCUGUAACUAACGCAAACUUCUGGAACCCAAAAAAUUCUACCAAAAUAGGAAGUUCUGGAAAAUUUGUUUAGUGAUCAGCAGCAAAAAUAAUCAACGCAAAAGCACGUUCCUGUAAUUUAUCAUAAUUAUAUUCGUGCACGCAAAGUUUCUGUUUUUCAGCAGAAUCAAAUCAACUAUCAUCAUAGGUUAUCCUAUAGGUCCUACUUGGCACAAACACUAAUUAAAACAUAAAACCACAUCCAAACAGAAGGUAGAAGGAUUAUUUAUUACUAAACAGCAAGGGAAAAUAUUGGGUUGUCUCCCAACAAGCGCUUUUCUUUAAAGCCUUUUAGCUAGGCAUAGAGAUUUUGAUGAUGCUCACAUGAAAGACAAGAAUUGAAGCACAAAUAGAGCAUCAUAUAGCAUGUGACAAACACAUCUAAGUCUAACAUACUUCCUAUGCAUAGGCAUAUUAUAGGCAAACAAAUUUGCAAGGCAAGCAAAAACUAGCAUAUGCAAGGAAGAAGAAGGUGACGAUAGCAAUCACAACAUGAAGAGAG